rnacentral:lncRNA from 1 species
AUGCUGCUACUUGACUAAUUUUUAGGAUAAAUUUUGUUUUGUAUAUCACUUGGGCAUUACUUCAUAGGUGAUUUUGGUAAGUAAAAUUAUGAUUUUUAGUUGAAUUUCUCAUCUGGGUAAGCUGCUACUGCUGUUUUUUCAAAAAUGGAUAGAACCCGAACAUGAGUCAAACAUAUAAGUCAUCUGUUGCAACAAAAGACUCAUAUGUUGGAUCAUGUUGCAGUUUCUAUAGUAUUGCAAAAUGAAUCCAAUAGAUGGGUCAUCUAUUUCAACAGAAGAGUUACUUGUUGUAACAGUAUACUCACAUGUCUAAACAAAACCUAAAGUUAAUUCCAAUAGAUGAGUUAUAUAUUGCAACAGGUGAGUUAUCUGUUCUAACAGAUGACUCACCUAUUGGGAUUCAAGUUAUAGAACUAUAAAACAUGAAGUUGAUUCCAAUAGAUGAGUCAUCUGUUACAAUAGGUGAUUCAUCUAUUGCAACAAGUAAGUGAUCUGUUGCAACAAGUCAUUCAUCUGUUGAAAUCAGUUUCAAAGGUUUUGUAGUACUGUAAUAUCUAUUCUAAUAGUUGCGUCAUCUAUUACAAUGAUGGAUAAUUUACUGCAAUAGAUGAUUCACCUAUUCUAAUAGAUGACUUAUUUGUUGGAAUGAGAUUCAGGUUCUAUAGUACUAUAACAUGAAUCACAACAAACUAGUCAUCUGUUGUAAUAGAUCAUUCACUUGUUGUAAUAAAUUAUUCACCUAUUAUAACUAAUUACUCAAUAGAUUACUCAUCUGUUGGGGUUCAUCUUAUAGUACUAUAUAAUCAUUAUUAAUUUUAUUAUAAUAUCAUUAUUAACUUUUUUAACAAAAGUAUCUAGGUACCACUAAUGGUGGAAUCAAUAACAAUAAGGUUGGAUUGUUAUGGUGAUGGAUCGAGAAGAACAAUUAAUAUAUUUGGCAUUGGAAAGAAGGUGAAAUGCUAGAGACGAUAGCUAUGAUAGUCCAAAGUAAUGUUUCGUAUGAUGAUUUUUCAAACUUAAUCAUCAACUAUUGUGUAUUGAAUCAUCAACCAGAAUAACUUGUCAUUAUCUAUAUGCACAACUGAUGACAUCGAAACUACACCUCCUUUUAGAAGAUGAUACGGUCACUGUAAAGAUGUAGUAACCCAACUAAGGUUAGGUCGAAUCCCAAGAGAACACGUGGAUUUGCAAAUCUCAGUACUUGUAGUCAACGGGCAGAACAAGAAAAGUAAAUGAGGGAUUGUUUGUAGUAGUCUUGAGGAAAGAAUAGUAUUAACUUCAGUUGUAAUCACUAUAGGCUUUUGAACUCUGUAGGUUCAUUGUGCGUUGUUGAACUAACCUAAUACCUUGCAUGCAGAAUCGAUAAGUUAUGUACAUUUCUACAAUCUUUUGGACGAGUAGAAGGAUUUCACCUUUUACCUUUUGUGUCUCAGGAUGUCAUAUUACUAACCCUUAUCUUGAUCCCAAUUAAAUAUUACCUUUUGAGUCUCUACUUAUUAGAUAAAAGUUAAUCAUCUUACAUAAAUAUUAUAUAGUAGCGUGGAUCGACUGUUAAACAUCAAAUUACUGUUGUCAUUAUCUUUUCAUAGUCACUACUUUUGUUUUGGAGUAAGUAGCAAUAAUCUAGGUGGGAUACUAAUGUUUGCAAUCGCUAAGAAAUCUAUUAAAGUGAAGAUAAUGCAAUGCAAACCAUGGGUAUUGGUUCAAUUCAACAAUCGCACUUUCCCUUCUUCGUUAAUUCGCCAGGGGUCGCACAACCCUAGCUAUGGGUUUUAUUUGCUCAAAGUUGUGAAGAUCUCAAUAAAAUUCAUAGUAUAAAGCAUAGAUGAAAUCACACUAAUAAGAUGAAUUAAAACUCAAAACCGUAACUUGAUUAAUCAAUUAAAGUUAGGACAAUAUAAUCCCAAGAUCAAAAUCGGAUCUUGGAAUCAAAAUAUAUUUGUGAGUGUCAAAAGUGUGUAACUCAAACUAAAAAGUACAUAAAGGAUAUUUAUAAUACAAGAGGAAACCCUAAAACCAAAUCCCAAAUGAAAUAGGAGAAAACCGGGUCGGUGGCCAUCUGCUCUCUGUAGCUAUGAUCUGGCACAGGGAACAGGUAGUACCUGCUAUCCUAACACAAGGCGCAGUUACAAACUAAAGGUUCAACUCCUCAACCUAGCUCUAUGGAUUUCCACCUUUGGCACCUACUCUGUCCACCUUCAGUCCAUAGGUUCUACAUGCGGUCCGUAGGUUUCCUUAGUAGGUGCCGAAAGUCAUUUUCAGCUAUUUUUCACUUCUUAAACAUGCUUUGAUCAUGAACAAGUUGAAAAACAUCCCAAAUAUCCAUAUUUGCUUGAAAAAGUGGCAAAACACACCUUUUCCACCUUUUUUAUUAACUUAACAUCCAAAAUAUAAUUUUCUGCAAAGCAUAUCCAAAACAAAUUAGAUCUAACAAGAUAACCUCAAAAACCUGCAAUUUUCCUCAUUUUAAGCAUCGAAAGUGCUAUAUCUCUAUAAAACAUCAAUACCCUCAACUUAGAACAUUUGCAUGUCCUCAGACAACAAAACAUAAUAAAACAAAAUGAUGCUUAACUAGGAGAAAGUAAGCUAUUCAAGGCAGUCAGUCAACAAUUAAACUCAAAACACAACAUCCCCCUCCAAUCUCAAUUUUCAAAACCAACUGUGUAUGAACAUGAAGUACAAUAGUGUGAUACAAUGGGAUCAUGGCAUGAAAAUUACAUUAGCAACAAACCACUACUCAUAUUUACAAAUUACACUAUUCGAACAAGCAAAUAGCUGGCAAUAUGGUUCAAGUGCCUUCAUAACAAAGAUGUCCCACUCACUCAUAUAAAUCAUGCAUGUCAAUGUAGGGACAGUCAAGAGACACUCAUACUUAAAAAAAAGUUCCAACCAAUGCAUUUCAAAUACCAUAGGCUUGCCCUUAUUUUCUUUACCUUAGAAUUCAGAUAGUCAUGUUAGGAUCACUAUAGGACUUUUCUCGGCUUGUAAUGUAGGCUUGGGGGCCGGUAUGGUACAUAUGGACAUAUCAAGUGACUGAGCCUCCUUGGUACUACACUAACCUUGAGGUCUCACUUACUAGCCAAUUUUCUUUUUAUUCUAUCCUUAUUUCUCCCUUUUAUUCUUUAUUGCACAUUGAGGUUGGGUGUGGUCUUUCAUUUUUUAUUUUUUCUCUUUUUCACAUUUUUUUCUUUUCUUUUGCUUUUUUUUUUCUACCAUACCCUGCCCUACUAACUUUUUCUCUUAUUUUACCCUUCUUUAUAUCCAUUUUAUGCUACACACCCCUAUGAUAGCCACCCUCAACUUAGGCAAUUUGUCUAAGUUAAGGUUCACAAUGUCUAAGGAGGACUAGGGCCAAAACAGGUUCAUUCUAAUACAAAUGGGAAUAUGAAUGGUGAAAUAAGAAAAAUAUGCUAUUAGGCCCAAAAUCGGGAUCAAGGGAUACAAUUCACACAUAAAAGGUCAUGUAGGCUAAAAGUGGACUAACCAACUAUGCUACAACCUAGGAAAGAUUAACAGGACAAGUUUUUAAUUUAACACUUAAAGGGAACUAGGCAGUAUCACACACACUCAUGGCACAGAGUCAAUAUUACCAACUAAUGCCUAUCUAGUUCAUGUAAUUAUCAGCAAAUAAUUAUUUUGUCCCUAAUUCUAAUUCCAUAACAAGAUCCACAAAAUUCACACAUAUAUACAUCAACACAAUUCUAAGACACAAAAGUUUUGAGGGGUAUCAAAAAUCAAAACAUAUCUACUGCCCUAAAUUCUCAAAAUCUCCUAAUUACACAAAAUAUCAUAAAACAAAACACAAUAUGCCUAAACAUGCUGGCUCUACUAGAAACAAGACUCUCAAGAAAAGAGGUAAGACAACUGUAACGCCCUGGGAAUACACCCUGAAUGCCAUACGGUGCUUACAGCCACAAGUGACCACAAGCUAACCCAUGAACUGGUAUCUAUUGUGAGCACUGAACUAACUAAUAAUAAAGGAUACACAUGGAACAAAGCUGGAUAUACCAUAUGGUAUAAAUAUUUAAAAAUAUCUUUGAACUAAAAUGCCUGAAAAAUAAAUGUUUAAAAACAACACUGUAAAGACUGUCAGUAAUAACUGAUAAUUGACUAACUGUCUGAAAGCCUCUAACUGACUGACUGUGGAGUUGAUGGGACAAUUCCCCAACUAACUCCGAUUGACUACUAAAUUUAAAUACUAAAAUAAACAUAAACAGUCCUUGGGAUAUGAGGAAUCACCACUGCUACUGCUACUAAUGCGCUGGGAUGUCUAGGUACGGUCAGAAAUCUGAGUGUCUGAACCUAUAAUAUGAGACAUCAUAGCGCAAGAAAUGAGUAUGCGGUCAGUACUUUGAAUGUACUAGUAUACUAAAUAAGGUUAGGCUGAUAUGCAUGACUCAUAUACAUGAAUAAUAACUGACUGAAUAAAUAACAUGAGAUAACUGAUGUAUAAUAUGUGAGGAAGCUUUAAAAUCUAUGAAUGCAUGACAUGAUACUGGAUAGUCUAUAAACUGAAAUACUGAUAUUGAAAAACUAAUAACUGUAUGCAUGCUCAAGUAAGACUGAAAUAGUACUUUGAGUUGAAUACUGUACUGAGACUGUGGGAGCUAUCAUCUAACCGACAUGCCCAAAUAAGUGCUAAUUGGGGUCCAACUUGUGACCCCAGUUUGAAUUGUGUCAGUACCAUGCCACGAGUACUAACACUGGCCGCGUGGAUGUACUAAAAUAAAAUCCCAAAGGACAAAAGAGUCACCCUCUACUAGUAGGUGCUCUAGUGAGAUAUAUGUCAACCCUUAAUUAUUAGGUUAGUAUCUCUAACCUAUGAUGGCUACAUAGAUCUAGUUUGCAGGGACUACUUCUAAAGGUCAUAAACUCAACUAGAAGGUGAGCCCCCUUCCCUGGGUUCGUUCGGUUCUAAAUUCUACUCCCAACUGAACUGACUUAGAAUACUGAACUUAUCUAAAAUUGAUUCAUAGGAUGACUGACUAAACUAAUAAUACUCAUAUAUGACUGAAAACCAUUCUGAAAGUACUAAGAAUAAGUAAAUAGCUAAAUUUCAUGUAUUCAUAACCCUUAGAACUCGAUAACAUUAACAGUAAAAGCAUACCAAAGCUUCAAAAGCAUAAUAAGUAGUCAUUGCUCAAAAUUCAUCUCUUAGGCAUUUCAUCAAACACUUGAAAUUCAUGAACUUAGGCAUGUGAAUGAUUGAAACAUGUGAGAAUAACAUAAUCAUAACACUAGAACCAUACAUUGGGCUAUUUAACAUGGAAUUUCACGCUUUAAACGUGUAAAGUCUACUUUUCAACUACAAACACUUGUAAACAUCAUGCAUAAUCAAAUUUCCCAAAAGCUUUAUGAAAUUAAGUCAUUGUAAACAUGUGAACUCAUAAUUUUGAACACAAAAAUAGAUACUUGGACUCCAUAGAUGAAAAGGGCCUAUGGAUGAACAUUUAACAUACCUUAAGGCUUUAAUCUUGCAAGAAAAUUGAUGUUCUUGAUCGUUCUUGGGUGGUGAAUCUUGAAUUAUUGGGUUUUAUUGAAGAAAUAAAGGAUUGAACUUAAUGAAUUUGGGUGAUGACUAUGGUUUAUUUUAAAGAGAAAUUGUGGAAAUAUGGCAUACAAUGCCUUAACUAAUGAUAACUCCCGUGUUUUUACAGAUUGGGCCAUGGGAGAAGACAAGACUGCCCCUCUGAAAUUAAAAUCAUAAAUGAAAUGCCGAUUGAUCCCUUACCAUGAUGCGCUAAGGCCUCCAUCGCUAUUCUAUCGUGAAAUGCCAUAGUCGCGGUGACUUCGCCUCCAUCGCUAUUCCAUCGUGAAAUGCCAUAGUAGUGGUGACUUCCUAUUUUGGAAAUCCAAACGUGGGUCAAACCUCGUCUAAAAAAUCCAAAAAAUUACUUGAGACAUGCUACAGAUACCCCUGAAUAUAAAUCAACUCAAAAACUUACAUCUCGGGGUUGGGAAGGUCAUUUUAAAAAUCACCGAAGUUAAGAGCCCAAAAAUAAAACUAAGUGUCCAACACGUAGCUAAAUUUUUAGGUUCUAAGCCCCUUGUACAUGCUUUAUAUGCUGAAUUUAGCUAUGACAAAUAUGGGGUAUUACAAUAUCUCCCCCUUAGGAACAUUCGUCCUCGAAUGAGACUGAUUAAGCUAAGAAAAUACAGAGGUACUGAGAUUAUAUGCUGAAUAUGCAUAACUGAAAACAUGACUACAUGACUGAGUCUAAAACAUGGUGUCUGAUUGAACUGAUUCAUGGCUAGAACUGAGAAUGGAAAAGAGAUAAUUUAAGGAAAACUAUUACUUUGAGGUGAGUUUGAAUUUGUGGAGAGAAGGUGAGGGUACUUGGUAUGCAUGUCUACUUCUGCUUCCCAAGUAGCUCCCUCAACGGACUGAUUCCGCCAAUGAACUUUGACCAAGGGAACUUCUUUGUUCCUUAGUCUACGAAUUUGGAGGUCUAAGAUUUUGAAUGGGAGCUCUUCGUAUGAAAGGCUUACCUGAACAUCUAUAGUUUCUCAAGGAACAACCAUAGUUGGGUCACUAAUACACUUCUUUAACAAGGACAUAUGGAACACUGGAUGCACGGAAGCCAAAUCUGUGGGCAGCUCAAACUUAAACGCUACCAUUCAAAAGUAACUCAAGCUCUUGUAAGGGCCUACAUAUCAGGGACUGAGUUUCCCCUUUUUGUCAAAUUUCUUUACUUUCUUCAUGGGAGAGAUCUUCAAAUAUACCAAAUCUCCUACUCAAACUUAAGAUCUUUUCUCCUCACAUAUGCAUAGGAUUUCUAAUGGCUUUGGGAUGUCUUAAGCCUCUCCCUAAUCAAUAGAACAUUCUCUAAAGCGUCAAACACAGAAUCUGGCCCUAUCAAUGCAAUCUCACCUACCUCAAACCAACAAAUAGAUGAUCUACAUAUCCUCCCAUAGAGAGCCUCAAAUAGAGCCAUAUGAAUACUGGAAUGAUAACUAUUAUUGUAAGAAAACUCAAUCAAUGGCAAGUGAUCAUCCCAACUGCCCUUAAAGUUGAUAACACAAUCUCUCAAUAUGUCCUCUAAGGUCUGAAUGGUCCUCUUUUCCUGACUAUUUGUCUAAGGGUGAAAGGUUAUACUGAGACAAAAUUAGGUACCAAGACCCUUCUAAAAAACCUUCCAAACAUGAGAGGUAAACUGAGUACCUCUAUCUAAACUGAUGGACAAUGGGACUCCAUGCAAUCUAACCUACUCCCUAAUGUAGAGCUUGGCAUAAUCCUCAAUUGAAUAAGAUAUAUGCACUGGCAAGAAAUGGACUGAUUUAGUUAUUCUGUCUGUAAUAACCCAAAUUAAAUUAUGCUGGCAACGUGAACGAGGCAACCCAGUCACAAAAACUAUGUUCACCUAUUCCCACAUCCAAGUGGGAAUGCUGAACUCCUACAUAGAGCCACUAGGCCUUUGGUUCUCAAUCUUAACCUACUGACAAUUAGAAUACUUGGCUAUAAACUCUGUAAUAUCCCUCUUUAUUCCACUUCACUAAUAGAUAUCUAGCAAAUCACUGUACAUCUUAAUGUCCCUUGGGUGAAUAGAGUAACGUGCACCAUGCACUUAUUCUAAGACUUGUUGUCUCAACCUAUCAACACACGACAUGUACAUCCUACCUUGAUACUACAACACACUAUCUCCUCCUUGGGAUAAAACCUCUACUUUUUGAUCUCUAACUGACUUCUUCAACUUAAUUAGACUGGGAUCCCUAUCUUGAUUUUCUUUUACUUCGGCAACCAAAGAAGAUUCCAAACUAUUCUGAACCCGUACACUACCCUCAACUAAGUCAACCAAAUGAAUGCCUAAUCUAGACAACUAAUAAACCUCCUGAACUAACUUCUUUUUAUCAUUCUCAAUAUGAGGCACACUACCCAUAGACAAACUACUAAGGGCAUCUGCCCCUACAUUGGCCUUGCCCGAAUAAUACAAAACACUUAUAUCAUAGUUUUUCAAUAAUUCUAACCUCCUUCCCUGACAAAGAUUUAAAUCUCUCUAUGAAAAUACAUACAACAAACAUUUAUGAUCUGUGAACACAACAAUAUGCACCCCAUAUAAAUAAUACCUCUAAAAUUUCAAGGCAAACACAAUAUCUGCUAACUUAAGAUCAUGGUAGGAUAAUUCUUUUCAUGGGGCUUAAUUUAUCUAGAGGUGUAGGCUAUGACCUUACUUCUCUACAUUAACACAAAAACCUAAAACAACUCUAGAAGCAUCACAGUAAACUACAAACCCAUCUAUGCCAUCUGGCAAGGUUAAAACUGGGCCUGAGGUGAGUUGAGUCUUCAACUCUAGAAAACUCUUCUCACAAGAAUCCAACUACUAAAACUUGACUUUCUUCAGAGUUAAUCUAUAAAUGAGGGAUGCAAUAGAUGAAAACCCUUCAACAAAUCAUCUGUAAUAGCCAGCCAAACCUAGGAAACUCCUGAUAUCUGAUGGAGAAAUGGGUUUGGGAAAGUUUCUCACUACUUAGGUCUUUUGAGGGUCGAAUCUAAUGUCAUCACCAAAAAUAAUAUGGCCAAAUAAAGCUACUGAUCAUUGCCAAAACUUUCACUUACUAAAUUUGGUAAACCACUGAUGGGCUCUAAGAGUCUGUGAUACAAUUUGAGAUGGCCUGCAUGAUCAUUUUCACUACGGGAAUAGAUAAGAAUGUUAUCUAUGAAGACUAUGACGAACAUGUCCAAAUACUGCUUAAACACUCUGUUCAUCAAAUUCAUGAAAGUUGCUGGGGCAUUUGUAAGACCAAAAGAGAUAACUAAGAAUUUAAAGUGACCAUACCGAGUCCUGAAAACUAUUUUAAAAAUGCCACAUUCUCUGACUCUGAGAUGAUGAUAGCCAUAUCUGAGGUAUAUCUUAGAGAAGUUACUGCUACCCUGAAGUUAGUCGAACAAGUCAUCAAUUAUGGGGAGUGGGUAAUUAUUCUUGAUUGUGACUUUAUUUAAUGGAUGGUAAUCGAUGCACAUACGAAGAGAACCGUCUUUUUUUCGCACAAAAAGGACUGGAGUGCCCCAUGGGAAAACACUGGGCAUGAUGAAUCCCUUAUCUAAGAGAUCUUUCAACUAUUAUUUUAACUCCCUAAGCUCUACUAGAGCUAUUUUGUAGGGUAAAAUAGAGAUAGGUUGGGUAUUUGGAAGGAGAUACAUUUCAAAGUCAAUUUUCCUUUUAGGAGAAACUCUGAGAAGAUCUUUGGGAAACACAUCUGGAAAUUCCCUCACUACUGAAACUGACUCAAGAUUGAGAGUCUCUUAACUAGAGUGACUAACUCGAACAAGAUGGUAGACAAACCCCUUGGAUAUCAUUUUUCCCGCUCUAAGGUACGAAACAAGCGGACCCCUAAGUGUUGAAGUACUAACCCUCCAUUCUAGGACUGGCUCAUUUGGAAAUUGAAAAUGAACAACUCUAUUUCUAUAAUCGACUUAAGCAUAGCAUGAGUGGAGCCAAUCCAUUUUGAGAAUGGCAUUAAAAUCCAUCAUCUCUAACUCCACAAGAUUAACUAAAUUGACUUUUUGGGAUAUUAUGACUGGAAAGUCUUGUAUACCUACCUGGACACAAUAGAGACACCUACUGGGGUAGAAACUGCAAAGGAUUUUAAUAAAGUCUUAGGACUGACAUCAAAAUCAACAACUAUGUAAGGGGUUACAAAAGAAAGAGAAGCUCCGGGAUCUAAUAAAGCAUAAACAUAUAAAUGAAAGACCUGCAACAUAGCAGUAACCACAUCAGGAGAAUUUUUUUGAUCCCACCAAAACUGAAGUGCAUACAAUUUAUUUGGGUGCUAACCACUGGUGGCACUGGAAGUGGCACCCUACUGAGUCGAGAGAUCGGAUGGAACUGAUGGACGACUAGACUAACCCUGUUGACCAUUAUAUGGGAAAUACCUGACCUUAUGGCCUGGUUUUCCACACUAAAAACAUAUAUCACUGCAAGCUCUACACAUACCCUGAUGGUUUCUACAACUUUUCUGGCAAAGAGGAUUUGUGCGACCGCUGUUCACAGUCCCUGGGACUUAGGGCCUGGCUCUCUCUCCCGAUUAUUAUUUCUGAACUUUAGUGCUAGCACACUAGAUAAAUAUGGAGCUGGGACUAAAUAUUUUUGAUGGAAUAGAGAGCGGUUACCACCCUCUAAGUCAGAUGAGCAAAAUUAAAGAUGCCUGUUCUAGCCCUCUUAUUCUCUUUAAGCUUCUGAUCCUCAAUCUGUUGAGCAUAGACCAUCAAUCGAUUUAAGUACAUCUCUUUAAUCAACAUUGCGGUCCUGCACUUCUUGACCAUGCUAUCAGCUACCCCAAAGACAAACUUACUCAUCUUAGACCUGUCAUCAGACCCCACAUUAGUAGCAUACCUGGCUAGCAAAGUAAACUUAAGAGAAUACUCCUUCACACUCAUGUUUCCCGGUCUCAAAAUAAUAAACUCCUGCACCUUAUCUUUCCUUAACUCUAAGGGAAAGAACCUAUCUAAAAAGGCUAUCGCAAACUCUUCCUAUUUUAACAGGCCCUGCAUCUACCCCUCUGUCUCCCUUCCACUACUUAUACUAGGUGUGCGCAACAUCCUGCAACUGGUAAGCACCUAACUCUGCACUCACUAGAAGUAACACCCAUAAUAUCACUUACAUUAUAAACCAUGUCAAGGAACUCCUACGGAUCUCAUCAAACUUAAAUCUUGAAAACAGAGGAGGGUUCAUUCGGGUGAAGUCUCGAAUCCUAAAUGGGACAGUAUAGCCACUAGAAUGGCUUGUAUGGUAGAUGGCUAAUUAUUUUGGGUUUCUACUGAGUGAGCUAAAGUAGUGAAUGUAGCUCUGAAUUUUGCAUGGCAGACAUGCUCAUUCAGGGGAUCUCCCUAAAUAGGUGUAGGUCUGAGCUGUUUCCUAUUUCUCCUUCUGUUAUUCAUUCUAGGAGGCAUGUUCUGUAAAUGAAAAGAAGAUUGAAUUAUAAAUAUGGUUUAAAUUGAGCUUAUUCUCACUCGCAUGACAUGAAUACAGAAAGAAGAGAAACUUUUCCUAAAAAAUCUUGUAGCCUCUUAUCCAUAAGUGUAGCGCGUUUCACAACCAUGCACAAGACUCUACUCAACGCGACUUUAGAGUACCUAGGACACUUUAAAACUUGGCUCUGAUACCAAGUUUGUAAUGCCUUGAGAGUGUACCCUGUAUUCCACAUAGCGCUUAUAGUCACAAGUGACCAUAAGCUAACCCAUGAGCUGGUACCUACCGUGAGCACUGAACAAACUGAUAAUAACGAAUACAUAUGUGUAGAAAACAAAGCUGGAUAUGCCAUAAGGUUUAAAAAUUUAAAAAUAUCUCUGAACUAAUAUGCUUGAAAAGAAACUAUCUUAAAAUAAUACUAUAAAGAUUUUCAAUAACAAUUGAAAACUGAGUAACUAUCUGAAAGCCUCUAACUAACUGAAUACUUACUGAAACACUAAAAUAAAAAUAAAUGGUCCUUGGGUUAUGAGAUAUCACCACUACUACUGCUAAUGGUGCGAUGGGAUGUAUAGAUGUGGUCGGGAAACUGAGCGUACGAACCUAUGAUAUAAGACAUCAUAGUGCAAGAAAUGAGUAUCCGAUCAGUACUUUGAAUGUACUAGAAUGUGAAAGGAUGAAUAAUAACUGACUGAAUAAAUAACAUGAGAUAACUGAUGUAUAGUAUGCGAGAAAGCUGUAAAAUUUGAGAAUGCAUGACCAAGCAUAUUACAUUAUACUGGAUAGUCUAUUUACUGAAAUGCUAAAAUAUUAAUACUGAACAACUAAUAACUGUAUGCAUAGUUAAGCAAGCCAAAAACUGAACUCUGAGCUAAAUACUGUACUGAGAUUGUGGGAGUAAUCAUCUAACUGGCAUACCCCAAUAAGAGAUAAUUGGGGUCUAACCUAUGACCCAAAUUAGAAGGGUGUCAGUACAGUGCCCUAGGUACUAACACUGUCUGCGUGGAUCCACUGAAAUAAAGUCCUAAAGGACUAAAGAGUCACCCUCUACUGGCAGGUUCUCCAGUGAGAUAUAUGUCAACCCUCAACUGGCAGGUUAACAUUCUAACCUAUAUUGACUAUAUAGUUCUGGUAUGCAGGGACUGCUACUAAAGGUCACACCCUCAACCGACAGGUGAUCCCCCAUCUCUGGGUUCAUUCGAUGCUAAAUUAUACUCCUAGCUGAACUAACUCAAAAUACUGAACUGAUCUAAACUUAACUGACAGGAUAACUGACUGUACAAAUAAUACUCAUAUAUGCCUGAAAAUCAUUUUUAAAGUAUUAAGACUAAGUAAAAAACUAAAUUUUUGCUAUUCAUAACACCCUGGACUCGAUAACAUUAACAGUAAAAGCAUACCAAAGCUUUGAAAGCAUAAUAAGUAGUCAUUUCUCAAAAUUCAUCUCUUAGGAAUUUUAUCAAACACUUGAAAUUCAUGAACUUAGGCAUGGGAAUGAUUGAAACAUGUGGGAAUAACAUAAUCAUAACACUAAAACCAUACAUUGAGGGAUUUAAGAUGGAAUUUCAUGAUUUAAACGUGUAAAGGCUACUUUCCAACUAAAAAUGCUUGUAAACAUCAUGCAUAAUCAAAUUUCCUAAAAGCUUCAUGAAAUUAACUCAUUAUAAACAUGUGAAUUCUUGAUUUAGAACACAAAAAUAGGUACUUGGACUCUAAGGGUGAAAAGGGCCCAUAGAUGAACAUUUAACAUACCUUAAGGCUUUAAUCUUGCAAAAGAAUUGAUGUUCUUGAUCGUUCUUGGGUGGUGAAGCUUGAAUUAUUUAGUUUUAUUAAAGAAAUAAAGGAUUGAGUUUGAUGAAUUUGGGUGAUGCUAUGGUUUAUUUUAAAGAGAAAUUGUGGAAAUAGGGCAUACAAUGCCUUAACUGAUGAUAAAUCUUGUGUUUUUACUUAUUGGGUUAUAGGAAAAGAUCUGACUGCCCCUNNNNNNNNNNNNNNNNNNNNNNNNNNNNNNNNNNCCGAUUGAGCCAUCACCAUAAUGCUCCAAAGCCUCUAUUUCUAUUUCACCGUGAAAUGCCACAAUCGCAGUGACUUGCUAUUUUGGAAAUCCAAACAUGGUCCAAACCUCAUCCAAAAAAUCUAAAACUUAUUUGAGACAUGCUACUUACAUACCUGAACAUGAAUCAACUCAAAAACUUAUGUCUCGGGGUUGAGAAGGUCACUUUAAAAAUCAUCAAAGUUGAGAGGCCAAAAAUAAAACUAAGUCUCCAACACUUAGCUAAAUUUUUAGGUUCUAAGCCCUUUAUAUAUGCACGAUGGGCUGAAUUGAGCUAAGACAAAUACGGGGUAUUACAGCAACAAAAAUCCCAAGAGAAUACUAAAACCCACAAGUAGCCCCACCCUUAGCUAAAAAUCAUGCAUUAUCUCCAAUGCAUCUAACCAAAACAAGAGAGUUAGGAACAUACAUGUUAUACCAUAGGUUCGAAUAUCCGACGUCAAUCACACAAAUACUAAUAAAAACAACAAAAUACCAUGGGUUGCCUCCCAAGCAACACCUAGUUUACUAUUACGGCAUGACUCAUUUCCCUUAGCUACUCAGACUUCACCAAGGUCUAUAUCAGCACAAACUCUGACUUCUUCCAUGUUUCCCAUGUAGUGUUUCACUCACUACCCAUUUACUUUAAAUGUGAUAUCACCAUCAUGCUUUAUCUCAAUACUACCAUAUGGGAAUACCUUAACCAUGGAAACAAGCGUAGUCUUGAAUUAUAUAACAAGAUCACAUCAUUGGGUUUGAAUAUUCUCUUUUUUAUCUUCUUGUCAUGGUACAACAUCAUUAUUUGUUUGUAUAUGGAUGAGCUCUCAUAAGCACAGAGUCAAAAUUCAUCCAACUUAUUCACCUUGCUCAACCUUAAGUUUGCUGCAUCACGCCACUCAAAAUUCAGCCUUUUCAAUACCCAUAGUGCCUUGUGCUCAACCUCAACCGGUAAAUGACAUGCUUUUCCAUAUAAAAUAUAGUAUGGGGAGGCACCUAUGGGAGUGUUAUAAGCUGUUUAGUAAGUCCAUAAUGCAUCAUAUAACUUUCUUGACCAAUCAGUUCUAUUGGCAUUCACAGUUCGUUGCCAAGAUAAACUUUAUUUCUCUAUUUGUGACUUCAACUUGACUACUUGUCUGAGGAUGGUAAGGUGUUGCCACCUAAUGCCUUACACUAUAUCUAUCUGGUGGGGCUUUGAACAAAUGGUUGCAGAAGUAAGACCCACCAUAACUAAUAAUGGCACGUAGAGUGCCAAAUCUAGAAAAGAUGUUUCUUUUAAGAAAAAUGGUGACACUUCUGCCUUCAUUAUCUGGAAGUGCAACUACCUCCACCCAUUUUGAUACAUAUUUAACCACUACCAGAAUGUAUUUCAUGCCAAAGAAGCUCACAAAUGGGCUUAUGAAAUAAAUCCCCAAAACAUCAAAUAGCUCCAACUCCAAAAUAGGCAUUAUGGAGAGUUUAUGGUGCCACAAAAUGUUUUCUUGACUCUGACAUUGGUCACAGACCUUUGCAAAAUAGUGAUCAUCCCUGUAGAUUAUAGACCAAUAAAACCAAUAUUUUAAGAUUUUAUGGGUUGUGCGUGUACCACUAUGAUGACCUCCAACUCGUAAUGAAUAACAAGCCUCUAUAAUGCUCAACAUCUCCACCUCUGGUAUACAUAUCUGAAUUACCCUAUUAGCACAAACACUAAAUAGAUAUGGCUCAUCCCAAAAGAACUUCCACACCUUAUGCAUAAAUUUCCAUCACUGCUGGAAGGAUAAAUCUUUUAGAAGGACAACACUUGCCUAGUAGUUGGCAAAAUUAGCAAACUAGGGGAUUAAAUUAUGAUAUGCUGCUAGAACAUGAUCAUCUAGAAAACCAUCAUAUAUCUCAAGAUUAUACCCUAAUUUCGAUAUAGUUUCCUCCUCAAGUCUGUAUAAGUAGUCUGGAACUUAAUUUUCUUUCCCUUUUUGAUCCUUGACAUUAAAAUCAAACUCUUAUAGUAAGAACCCAAAAAAUCAAUUAUGUUUUAGCAUAUUUAUUCAACAUUAAAUACCUCAAUGUUGCAUGGUCCAUGUUAACUAUCACCUUGUCCCCUAUCAAAUAAGACUAAAACUUCUCAAAAGCAAAAACCAUUGAGUGUAGCUUUUAUUUUGUGACUGUAUAAUUUUUCUAUGCAGGGGUCAAAUCUUUACUGGUAUAGUAUAUAGGAUGCAAGAUCUUCUCUCUUAUUUGGCUUGGGAUAGCACCCAACGUCACUUCACUUGCAUCACACAUAACCUCAAAAGGUCUAGACCAGUUAGGAAACACAAUAAUGGGUGGCAAAAUCUACCAUUCCUUUAGGAAUUUAAAAGACUUUAGACACUCAUUAUGAUGCACAAAUUUAAUAUCUUUCUCUAAAAGUUUGCACCUAGGAGUUGCAAUUUUAGAGAAGUCCUUGAUGAAUCUUCUAUAGAAACCUUCAUGGCUUAAAAAGCUUCAUAUGCCUCUAACUGAUUCUGGCGGUGGCAAUUUCUCAAUAACCUUAAUCUUUUCUUUUUCUACUUCAAUUCCAUAUUUAGAGAUCUUGUGCUUUAGUCAGAUACUUUCUCUCAUCAUAAAGUAGCAUUUUCCCAGUUUAGUACCAAACUGUAUUCUUUGAAUCUAUGUAGUGCACUAGCCAGAUGAACCAAACAAUCAUUGAAAGAAUCCCCAACUACUGAAAAGUCAUCCAUGAAUACCUCUAUCAUGUCUUCUAUUAUGUUAGAGAAUAUGGACAUCACACAUCUCUGAAAAGUGGUAGGUGCAUUGCAUAGUCCAAAUAACAUCCUCUUGAAAGAAAAGGCCCCAUAGGGGAAAGUAAAGGUUCUCUUUUCUUAGUCUUUGGGAGCAAUCAUAAUUUUAUUGUAACCCAAAUACCUAUCAAGAAAAUAUUACCAACCUCUACCUGCAAAUUUGUCCAACAUCUGAUCCAUGAAUGACAUUGGGAAGUGGUUCUUUUGUGUCCACUUGUUCAACUUUCUGCAAUCCAUGCACACUCUCUAUCAAGUCACUGGUCUUAUUGGUACUAGCUUAUUUUUUUCAUUUGGAACAACUGUGAUCCCUCUUUCAUUGGGAUGCACUGAACUGGGCUAACCCACUUGUUGUCUACAAUAGGAAAAAUCACUUCAGUAUCUAACCACUUGAUUAUCUGAUUUUUCACCACUUCUUGUAUAGGAGGAUUUAGUCAUUUCUAAUGCUUAAUAAUGGGAAUGCUAUCUAGUUAAAGAUGCAUAAUAUGUGUGCAUAUAUCUGGUGGGAUCCCCACAAUAUCUGCAAUAGUCCACCCAAUAGCUCUCUUGAAUUUCUCUAAUACUGAUAUAAAAGCUUCCACCUAUGAUCCUGAUAAAUCUGCUAUAAUAAUUACUGGCAAUGUAUUAUUGGCCCUCAAGAAUACAUACUGCAAAUGAGAUAGGAUGGCCUUUAAUUCCAAUGCAAGAGGUUCUUCAAUCAACGGUCUUGCAGAAGGUGUGGUUCUAUUCUUCAAGUCAAGAUCAGCACUCGAGGCCACUAUGCUUGCAUCACAUAUUAUGUCAAAAUGUGCAAACUAGUCCAGUAACACAAUAACAGAAGUCAAAAUCGACCUCUCCUUUAGGUAUUUGAAAUACUUGAUACACAUAUUAUUAAACACAAACUUCAACUCCUUCCCUAAAAGUUUGCAUAGUAGGGAUACAAUUUUAGAGAAGUCAUUGAUGAAUCUUUUAUGGAAAUCGACAUAUCCUAAAAAACUCCGUAUACCUUUUACUGAUACUGGAGGAGGAAAUUUCACAAUCACCUCUAUCUUCUCUUUGUCUGCCCCAAUGCCAUAUUUGGAGAUCUUAUUCCCUAACACUAUAGCUUCUCUUACUAUGAAGUGACAUUUUUCAUAAUUUAGCACCAAAUUACAUUCUUCACAUAUACGCAGUACACUGGAUGGAUGUGUUAGGCAAUCAUCAAAUGAAUCUCCAAUAAUUAAAAAUUGACCCAUUAAUACCUCAAUCGUAUCUUUCACCUUGUCAUAGAAUAUAGACAACAUAUAUCUCUAAAAGGUUUUAGGUGCAUUGAAUCUGAACAACAUCCUCUCGAAUGCAAAGUUCCCAUAGGGGGAAGUAAAGGUAGUCUUUUAUUGAUCCUCGUGAGCAAUCAUGAUUUGAUUGUAUCCAUAGUACCCAUCACAAAAACAAUACCAACCCCGGCUGGAAAAUUUGUCCAACAUCUGAUCCAUGAAUGACAUUGGGAAAUGGUUCUUUUGUGUCCACUUGUUCAACUUUCUGCAAUCCAUGCACACUCUCUAUCAAGUCACUGGUCUUAUUGGUACUAGCUUAUUUUUUUCAUUUGGAACAACUGUGAUCCCUCUUUCAUUGGGAUGCACUGAACUGGGCUAACCCACUUGUUGUCUACAAUAGGAAAAAUCACUUCAGUAUCUAACCACUUGAUUAUCUGAUUUUUCACCACUUCUUGUAUAGGAGGAUUUAGUCAUUUCUAAUGCUUAAUAAUGGGAAUGCUAUCUAGUUAAAGAUGCAUAAUAUGUGUGCAUAUAUCUGGUGGGAUCCCCACAAUAUCUGCAAUAGUCCACCCAAUAGCUCUCUUGAAUUUCUCUAAUACUGAUAUAAAAGCUUCCACCUAUGAUCCUGAUAAAUCUGCUAUAAUAAUUACUGGCAAUGUAUUAUUGGCCCUCAAGAAUACAUACUGCAAAUGAGAUAGGAUGGCCUUUAAUUCCAAUGCAAGAGGUUCUUCAAUCAACGGUCUUGCAGAAGGUGUGGUUCUAUUCUUCAAGUCAAGAUCAAACUUCUUAGGGGCAUAAUAGUAAGAGCCUAUUCUAUGUAAGGAACCAAAAAUCUCAUCAUAAUUAUCUAUUCCAUCACUCUCAAAGUUCAUAAUCAUGACUGAUACUAUUUUUACCUGUAAUCUCUCCUCAAUAGGCACAUCUACUGUGAACAUAUCAUCAUUCACUGCAUCUAUCCCACUACUCUUAUAUCAUCUAACUGUUAUAUUGUCAUACAUAUAUUCAACACAAUUUGAUCAUCAUUUUAAUUAAAAGUGAUUUCUUCCAAAUCCAUGUCAAUCAACCCUUGACCAAUAGACAAGAAAGGUCUACCCAAUAUGAUAGGUGAAUGGGUAUCCACUUCAUAGUAUAGAAUCAUGAAAUCUAUCGUAUAAAUGAAUGAUGCUACCAUUACUUACAUGUUAUGUACAACACCUACUGGCUUUUUUAUAGAUAAAUCAAUCAUUAACAACCUUUCUGAGAUAGGUUUGAGUUUGCCUAUACCUAAUACCUUGUAUAUCCCUAAUGGAAUUAUAUUUAUUCAUUCUUCCAUAUCAUAUAGAGCCUGAUUAAUCUCAUAAGUCCUAAUGGAACAUAGGAUAUUGACUGCAUCUGGAUCCCCUUUCUUUUAUCCCAAUGGUCCAUAAAAAUAUGAGCUAAACUAUUGCACUAUAUUAUGGAGUUCUUCUGUAACCUAGUCAUUAUCUUAAUCACUAUAGAAAUAAUCAUCACCAUAAGUUAGCUUCUCAAACUCUACCUCAGAUAGCUCAUCAGCAACAACAUCCUUCUUUUUCAGUACAUCAGUAGUAGUUGAAAAAGGUUGAUCAGGUAAGGGGUCAUCCCUAGUGUCAAUGGUUCUAUAAUGAACAAGUGUAGGAGGAUUCUACAUAGUGUCACAAGUAAAUGCUCCUGACUGCCUCUCAGCUAAAGUAACAGAGAUUUUCCCAUAUUGCUACUCUAACUAUUUGAUAGUAGUUGUAUAUGACUCAACCUUUUGGGCUAAUCCUGAAAUAUUAGCCUUAAGUUCCUUGAGAUAAAUCUCUUAGCUCUCUUGAAACUUCAUUAGCUUGGUCAACAUUUCUUCUAUUUUUGAUUCUAUAUCUCAUCUACUAGGUAAAAUGUACUUAUCUUUCUUCUCAUAAUAGUCUGACCUUUAAUCCCUUGCUCUUAGGCUCGGAAACUCGCCAACUAACGAUCCACAUACUUUGCCUCCUCUACUGAGUCAAACUCAUGUAUCUUAUAAGAAUUUACUAUUGUAAAUUAUUUGGUUAAUUCACCAUUAUCCAUCUGUAAUAGUUAAAUCUCUUGAGGUACAACAUCCUUAAUUCUUUUUUGAUCACCGGAAGCUUCAAUGGGCAUAAAUAUCAGAACCUCUCUCAACUUCCUCAGUUUUCCACCCUCAGUUAGUUAAUGAGAUCUGAUCCAUAAUAUUCAAAGAUAUCUCCCAUGGUAAUCUCAGAAAGGCUCCUCCAAAGAUAGUGUAUGCCAUCACUUUGGAAUUGAUUGUCAGGGCUCUAUAGAAUAUCUCUGACAGGCUUUUCUAUGAUAUAGGGUGGUUGGACACUAUGAUAAUCUUAUUCUUGAACUUGAACCAUGCCUCAUACAUAGACUCUGACUAACUGCAUAAAAUUAUAAAUCUCUUCCUUGAGUUGUAAUACCCUGAAUAAAGGAAAGAACCUGUUCAAGAACUAUCUGUGUAGCUUAAUCCAAGUAGUAAUAGAACCUCUUGGAAGUUCCCCUAGCAAUAAUGAUGCUUCUCCAGUAAGUGAGAAAGAAAACAACCUCAGUCUCAGUGCCUCCUGAUCUACCCCAAGUAUGGUAUAUGAAGUGCAGAUCCCAAUAAAUUUGUUAGAUUCAUGUUUGCGUCGUCUGUAGGCAACCCUACAAACACACCCUUCAAGUAUAAGAGCUGGAUCAUAGAACUAUAAAUAUUGAACUUAACAUUGGGAGGUAAUAUAAAAGGGAUAAUGGCUCCAGUUUCUGCUGUCUCAACGAAUCCCAUAUCUUCUUCAUCAUUAAUAUACGACUGCAUAUACUGAUAUGUUGGGAUGGCUUAAGGUUGACCUCUUCAAAAUCUAUCCUAAUUUUCACCGAGUAUUUCUAGGCAGUCUGCUACCUGUCUCUUAUUAGCUAACUCUAUCUGAGCUAAUAUUUUAUUAGUUUGUCUAUCAACAACCUCCUAAACUCCUUCUUAAGAGAGAUUGUCCUUCUUCAGCUCUCAUAUCUUACUAUAUAAUUGUAGGAUCUUCUCUAAAAUUAGUGGGAGUAAGGGAUUACCUCUACUCUAUGUGAUAGGAAUACACUGGUAUAUUCCCAACUCAAAAAAAAAAUAAAAACCCAAAAACUACAAACAACUUCAAAUCGCAAAUCAACAUUGUGUUCCCUGGCAACAACGCUAAUUUCUUGAUGACAUCCAAGCAAUAUCUCCUUUUAGAUGAUGAUACGGUCACUGUCAAGAUAUAGUAAUCAAGUUGGGGUCAAAUCCUAAGUAAAUAUAUGGCUUUGUAAAUCUUAGCAGUUGUAGUCAACAAGUAGAACAAGAAGAGUAAAUGGGGAAUUGUUUGUAGUAAUCUUGAGCAAAGAAUAGUAUUAACUAUAAUUGUAUUCAGUAUAGGUGAACACUAGGAUUGCGUUCCCCUUAGAUUCUCAAAUUUGUAGGUUUAUCAUGCAUUGUUGAACCAACUCACUACCUUGAAUGUAGAACUAAUAUAUUAUGUACCUUUCAAUAGUCUUUUGGACUAGUAGAAGGAUUUCACUCUUACCUUUUGAGUCUUAAGAUGUCGCAUUACUAACCCUUAUCUUGAUCCCAAUUAACUAUUACCUUUUGAGUCUCUAGUAUUUAGAUUAAAGCUAAACAUCUUAUGUAAAUAUUACCUAUUAGCAUAGAUCGAUAGUUAAACCUCAAAUUACUAUUGUCAUUAUCUUUUCAUAGUCACUACUUCUCUUUUGGAGUAAUUAGCAAUAAUUUAGGUAGGAUCUUAACAUUUUCAACCGCUAAGAAAUCUAUUAAAGUGAAGAUAAUGCAAUGCAUUCCAUGGGUAUUUAUUUAAUUCCUCAAGAUAAGACAAUACAAUCUCAAGAUCAAAAUUGGAUCUUGAAAUCAAAAUAUGUUUGUCAGUUUCAAAAGUGUGUAAAUCUGACUAAAAAGUAUAUAAAGGGUAUUUAUAGUAUAAGAGGAAACCCUAAAACCAAUGCCUAAAUAAAAUAAGAGAAAACUAGGAUGGUGGCUACCUGCUCUCUAUACCUACGGUCUGGCAUAGGGCAUAGGCCGUACCAACAGUCCUAAUAUUAGGCAUAAGUGCAGACCAUAAGUGCAACUCCUGCAGCCUAGCUCUCAAGAUUUCAAUCUCUGUCCACCUACAGUCCAUAGGUCCUACAUGCAGUCUGUAGGUUGCUUUGGUAGGUGUUAGGAGUCAUCUUUUUAGCUCUUUUAAACUUUUGAAACAUGCUUUGAUCACGAACAAGCCGGAAAACAUCUUGAAUAUCCAUAAUUACCCGAAAGAGUGGCCAAAAAUACUUUUUUGACCUUUUCAUGAACUUAACAUCCAAAACAUGAUUUCUUACAAAACAUACCUAAAAUGGAUCAUAUCUAACAAAAUAGCCUAAAAAACAUGCAUAUUUUCUUAGUUUUAAGCAUCAAAAGUGCUAGAUUUCAAUAGCACAUCAACAACUCCUUUUAUAAUUAGAGGGUACUACCUUUCAAGAUAACUAAUCAGGUUUGGUUGCGUUCUUAUCUGACCGAGUUAGCUAGCCCAUUGUUAAGGGCGUAUGUAGUUGAAAAACUAAGAGAGAAUGAGAAUCACAAUGUAGAAGAAAAACAAGAACAAAAAGAUAUGUUUGAUGAUAAAUUGGAUGAUAUGGAAAUAAAUAUUCUACAUGAUGAUGAGAGUAGUGGAGAUCAAGUGAGGAAGGAUGAUCAAACACCUGCGUCCAUUGUUGCAAGCAAUAUUGUGGGUGGUUCUUCUCAAUCAAUGUAGUUGGGAAAUCGUAAAGAUGAUGAGACUGGUAAUUUCAAGGGAAUGGCAUUCAAGAAUAAAGAUGAAAUAACUACUUCUUUGUAUAUUGCUUGCUUGAAAAAUAAUUUGUACUAAAGAAUGUGAUUAAUUCAAGAAAUAUCUAUUAUUUUAGAUGUUCUAAUCCAAAUUGCAAGUGGUGGUUGAGGGCUGUGAAAUACUUAAGUUCUAACAGAUUCAUCAUUAAUGUUUAUGAAAAGUAUCACACAUGUGGUUUAGAGCAUGUUAUGAGUCAUAAUCCUCAUUCCAUGGCAAAGGUCCUCGAUAAAUAUUUCAAAAAUAUAUUCCCUAAUCGAAAAGCCCCUUCUACAGGUGAUAUGACUAAUCAAUUUCGUACAGAAUUCGAUGUUGUGAUCAGUUAUUGAAAGAUUUAUAUGGCCAUGGGGAUUGCCAAGGACUUGGUCAGGGGGGUACAUGAGCACGGGUAUGCAGUCUUGAGUCCACAUAUCCCAAAAGUAAGACGACAUUGCAUGUUGAUGAAACUGGAAGGUUAAAGUAUUUUGUUGUAUCCUAUGGUGCUUGGAUUAUUAGUUUUAAACAACUGAGAAAAGUCAUAUCCAUCGAUGGGAAUUUCCUAAGGAGCAAGUAUAAUAGAGUUUUUAUAUCAGUGGUGGCACAGGUUGCCCAAGAGUCAUAUCUUUCCUAUCCAUUUUUGUGUUAUGGACAGGGACUAUGAUGUAUCAUAUGCAAAUUUUUUUUGAACGAAUACAAAGUUGUGGAGACAAUAUCAAAGAGUUGUGUAUAAUUUUGGAUAGGCAUCCAAGUAUCCAAAAUAUAGGUUCAAUUUUCUUCACUUCAGCUCACUUUAGUUGUUGCAUGAGGCAUCUUGAAGAACAUAUUCAAAACAACUUUCAUAAUGAAAGGGUCGUGACUCAUUUUUAUAGAGUAGCUAAAGCAUAUAAUAGAACUAAUUUUUUUGACCAUUUUUAUCAAAUAAGGGAUAUGCAUCCUAAGGCAGCACAACAUCUCAAAUAUAUCAAUUUUGAGAAAUAGAGCCGGGCAUUUUGUCCGGCAAAUAGGUAUAUGAUUAUGAAUUUAAUUUCUUGAUUGAGUUACAACUUUGUAAUACUGUAUGAUGUCAUACUAAGUGAUUAUAAUAUUAUGACAUCAAAUAUAAUUGAAUCAUCAAAUUCAAUGUUUGGCAUUGAAAAAGAAUUUCCCAUAUGGCGAUAUUUAAUGAAAUAAACUAGAGGUAUGCCCAAUUAUUCAUGAAUGGUGUAUGAAAUUAGUGAACAAAAUCAAUAAACUUGUUCUAAAAGUGGAAAAACAAAUAUCAACAAACAUCAGUUUGGAAAAUGUUAUUUGCCCAUCAAAUAGCAAAUUACAAGUUCAGUAUUGAUAGUCAUGGUGAUGUUGCCACGACCUAUCUUUAAUGAAGAUCUUGUAUAUUUAGAGUUUUUAACUUGGACAAAAUACCUUGUCCACAUGCUAUAGUAGUGCUUCGAGCCUAACAUGGUGCACAAUAUGGAACUCAAAUUUAUGAAAAAUAAUCUUCAUAUUAUUUGGUGAAAAGAUAUAAUGGCAUAUAGUGAGAAUAUUAAUCCGGUGCCUCCUAAAGUGAAACUUCUAGGCUUUAAACCAUAAGAAAAUUCCUUUAUUUGAUGUCUCUUUUCUAGGUAUGACUAAGGGUACCACUGUACCCAUAGGAUACGAGUUAUAGACCUCCUCUCAUAUCCUAGGCAAUAUGGUGAGGGUUACUCAGUGUCCUAGGUACGAGUUAGGCCCCCGCAUCAUACACUAAGGUAUGAGUUGUACCCAAUAUAGUCAUAUAGAGAGGUGUCUUGGACUAGAAGUAGACUAUUUUUUGUAUAAGUGAUGUGUACAGUUUAGGUCAUAAGUCAUACGCUUUGGAUACAACUCAAAGGUGUGUAGUCAUACCCUAACCGAUAUUGAUAACCUAAGAGAAGCAUAGGGUAUGAGUUAGGAUACCACUCAUAUCCUAGGGUACGAUUGGCUUAAGUGAGUCGUACCCCCCUUGAAGGCCACUUUUUAGCUUUUAAGUCAAGGGUUCAUGGUCAUUUCCCAUCCCAAAACCCUUAAUUCCCUUCAUUAUAUAUGGAAUUUUUGCCUCCUAAACUCUCAUUUACAAGACUUAAACAUUUCAAAAUACUCUCAAAGCUUCUUAAAACACGAUUGAAGGAGAGGGUUUGGAGGGCGUUUAUCUAGAAGCAAAGAAGAGUCAAGUUCCUUUGGGUAAUCAAGUUGUCUAAGGCAUGUAACUCUUUACCUAGUUUUAACUCAAUCACCAUGUGUUUUAGACAUGUAUUAAUACUUGUAAAUGAUGAUUUUGAAAUCAAAAUAUUAAGGGUUUGAUGGCUAGUGAUGAGUUAUGUGUGUUCUUACUUAGACUUAUGUUUAUACAUGAUAUUGUUGAUGUUUUGUACAUGUGGGUGCUUGUCGUAUGUAGUUGUGGAUCUGAAGUAAUACUAAUCUUGAUGAUUUCUAUCUUGAAAUUGGCCUUGGUAAGGACAUAUACACAAGGUGUUUGUGAAAAUGUCUAAGUGAAUUAUCUAGUCACAUGGUUGGAAUGUUUUAAACUAGGAAAAUGGCUCAAUAAGUAUGAAUGAUUGAUAAAUGAUUUUGUAAAGGUAUUGUGGGCCAUGUAUUGUGUAAUUGAUGACCUUGUUGGUUUGAUGGCUAGUAAAAAGUUAAAAUCCCUAGACAUCAAAUUGUACUUAAAUUGUAUGUUGAACCAAGUGUGGUAAGAAUGUGGUAUAAUAUUGCUAGUAAAGUGUGAAUGGCUUGUAAGGGUCUUGAUGACCAUAAACUAAAUUGUAUGAUGAAUUGAAUUAAGCCAUUGGCCUAUUCAAUUGUUUAAGCAGCAAAGGCUCCCAUAAAUACCUUGUAGUUAUGAAUGGUGUUGAAUUAGUUGAAUAGGUUAAAGUCCUUAAGUGUUAAUUGAAUAGAUAAUGAUGUAUGAACAAAGGGUUAAACUCCUAAUGUCAACUAUGGUAGUUGUAAUGGCUUGUGGUUAAAGUCCCUUACCUACUAAUGUUGCUUAUGGUUAAUGUCCCUUGCUUAAAUAGAAUGGCUAGUGGUUAAAGUCCCUUGACAAUUAAUGUGUCUUAUGGUUAAAGUCUCUUGCUUAAAUUAAAUGUCAUGUUGUUAGAUUCCCUUGCCUAACAAAUAUGUCGGCUUGGGUUAGAGUCCUUUAUUUACUAUGGUUUGAGGUUAGAGACCGUAUCCAAAUAUAGUUACAUGAGGUAAAAGUCCCUUUCUCAUUGAGUGUGUAUAUGGUUAAAGUCACUUUGUCAAAUGAUGAUUGUGUAUCUAUAAGUGUGGAUGGUCGGAGUCCUCUACUUUAUCAAUGAUGAAUGAGUGCUUCAAGAGUGUUGAUAAGACUGUUCCCUUAUAUGACAUAUGAUAUACCUAUAUUUAUGGAUAAGUGGAUUAAUGUGAUUGAAUAUAAUAUAUUGACCUAUGUUAAAUGAAAAUAUUAUUUUAUACAUAUCCUUGAGUUAUAUGCCAGUGCUCCAACCGCUAACCAUCUCUGAAUGCUAUGUCCCUACAUGACAUAGGGGCUGGAACAUCGUCUUUUUUUCCUGUGCAGUGAUUAGACAAUUGAAAUGAUUCAUACCUUGAAUUUGGAGUGGUGAGCAUCGUUACUUUAGAAUAUAUUCAUUCUAGGUCUCUUAUCUUUAGACUUAAUCUUAUUCAAACCUUGUUUGGCUUUUGGUGGGAGCUUGUUCCAACAUAUACAUUUCUAUACAUCAUUUUGUAUAGAGGUAUUAUGGAUCAAUGUGGACUUGGGUAUAUUGACUAGUAUGUUGAUAUAUAUGAAUUUUUUAGACAUUAUUAAGUUAUUAUUUCUGCUAUUGUGAUUAUCUAGUAGGGAAUCACUCAACUCUUGUGGUUAAUGUUAUGAUUAGGUUGAGUUGAUGGGGAAACCUCUGGUUUAUGUUGGGCCUGAGGUGCCCAUACGACAUGGCCUAUUUUCUGGUCGUGUUAAGUUGGUAUCAGAGCCUAGGUUCAUGUAGGUUGGGUGUCUAUAAUGUCGUGUUAAGUAGAGUCUAUUUUAUGGGUGUGAAGUUUUCCACACUUAAAAGAGAGGGGCUACGAGACAUUCUAGGAAAUGUUUCCCUUUCUUGUGUUUCUAUCUCAAGAUAUUGAGUUUAAGGCCUUGGAUUCCUCUGAUUUCUAUUUGCUAUCUUUUAGAUCAUGCUUCCGAGAAGAUCUGAUACCCAGUCAAACCCUUCUAUGGUCCCUAUGGAUGAAUCUCAUACAACUUUUGGGGUCCAGACCUGGGCUAGGGUUACUACUUCUGACCAUCCUUGUGGGGUUCUAUCGGUCCCUAGUAACCCUACUUAUGAGGGUGACACUCCUACUCAGUCACCACCUACGGAUGCUUCUAAUAUUGAGUUUCAUCGCUCUAUUAACCUAUUGCUCAAUUGGUUGCUUUUCAUUUGGAGAGUGGUGCUCCGGCUACUAUUUAUUUUGAGGCCAAAAGAGUUGGCCAAUUUAUGAGGUUGAUCCCUCUUAUGUUUUGGGUAUGAAGGUUAAAAAGGAUCUUCAAGGAUUCAUCAAUAAAAUAGAGAAGAUCUUCUAAAUCAUGUAUGCUUUAGAGGUUGAGGCCAUUGAGUUUGGUUCCUACCAAUUGAAGGAUAUAGAAUACCAAUAGUAUGAAGGAUGGGAGUUGUAUAGAGGUAUGGAUGCUAGUGCUGCCACGUGGGAGGAUUUCUCUGAGGCCUUCUUAGAUCACUUUUUUCCUCAAGAGUUGAUGGAAGCUAAGGAAGAAGAGUUUCUAAACUUGAAGAAAAGGACGAUGUCUACUCAGGAGUAUGCCUUGAGAUUCCAUCAGUUGUCAAGGUAUGCUCUCGAGAUGGUUUCUAGUAUAAGGGCUAGAAUGCAUAAGUUUGUUUUGGACUGUCCUGAGAGUUGGUAAUUGAGUGUAAGACAGCUUUGUUGAUUAAAAAUAUGGACAUAUCUAGGUUGAUUGUGUAUAUGAAACAAGUGGAAGAAGAUAAAAAAGGCAAGUUCAGUUUAGUGAAAGGCAAGGGAAGAAAUCUAGGCCAAUCGAGCAAAGUGGUAGAGAUGAUGGCAAGUGGCCAUGAAAUAAGUGGGAGAGUUAAGGUUUUAUCUUAUCGGCUAGUUCUCACUCUUCUUACCCAAUGUUGUUGGGUGAUAAUCGAUCUCAGUUUAGUGGUGGGUCCUAGGCACAAAGUGCCUAAUUCCAGACUAUUGGUGCUCAGUCGGCUCCACUCUACCCUCCUUGCAGAUUUUAUGGUUAGAGUCAUCAUUAUCAGUGUAAGAAGGUGAGAAAGAGAUGUUUUAGUUGUUGUUAUAUUGGGAAAAUGCAGCAUAAGUGCCCCUCUCUAGCAGCUUCUUCGGCCAACAAGGCCCCUAUUGCUACUUUCUCUUCUCCAACACCAAAGAUUGUUGUCUCUACUUCUACUUUUAUUUUUAGCAGUGAAACUGGACGAAAACACUUGUAUGCACUUCAUAUUCACAAGAAUUUUGAGGCAUCUCUCGAUGUUUUCACGAGUAUGUUAAAACUUUUCUUUUGUGAUGUAUUAUUUGCUUGAUCCAGGGUCUACUCUUUUCUAUGUGACUUUGUAUGUGGUUGUACAUAUUGAUUUUGGUCUCGAUAGUUUGUUGGUUUCUUUUUUUGUUGCUACCUAGGUAAGAGACUUUGUGGUUGUUAAAAAGGUCUAUAGAGGUGUGUGGUAGCUGUUAGUGGUAAAAAACUCUUGUAGACUUCAUAGAGUUGGACAUAGUUGAUUUUGAUGUUAUUCUGAGGAUGGAUUAGUUGCACUCGUGCUAUGCUUCCUUAGAUUGUCAGACCUGUAGGGUCAUGUUUAAAUUCCCUAAUGAGCCGGUCAUUAUCUAGGAAGGCGGUUUUUUAGUGCCUAAGGGAAGAUUCAUUUCAUAUCAUAUAGCCCAAAAGUUGAUUUUAAAGGGGUGUUUAUAUUAUUUGAUCCAAGUUAAAAAGUUCUAACUCGGAAGAGCCUUCUCUAGAAUCUGUUUCCUUGGUGUUUCUUGAUGAUCUUCCUGGUAUUUCUCCCAAUAAGGAAAUUGAUUUUGGGAUUGGUCUUGUUCCAGACACUUGUCCGAUUUCUAUCCCUUCUUAUAGAAUGGAUCCAAUGGAAUUGAAAGAACUUGAGAAAUUCAAAGACCUCUUAGAUAAAGGCUUUAUUUGUCGUAGUGUAUCUCCUUAGGGUGCUCCCAUAUUGUUUGUGCAUAAGAAGGAUGGUUCCCUUCAUAUGUGCAUUGAUUAUCACCAGUUGAACAAAGUGACCAUAAAAAAUAGAUACCCUCUUCCUAGGAUAGACGAUUUAUUUGAUCAACUUCCAGGUGAAAAGUGUUUCUCUAAGAUUGAUCUUAGAUCGAGUUAUCAUCAGCUUAAAAUUAGGUAGGCGGAUAUCCCUAAGACUACUUUUAGAACUCGGUAUGGUCACUAUGAGUUUCUAGUCAUGUCCUUUGGGUUAACCAGUGCCCCAGUGACAUUCAUGGAUUUGAUGAAUAGGGUCUUUCAUCCGUUCUUAGACAUGUUUAUUAUUUUCUUGAUUGAUGAUAUCGCAAACUUUGAAGGAUCAUUGUUUAGAUGCCAAUUUCUGUAAAUGUGAGUUUCGGUUGAAAUCCAUAGCUUUUCAUGGUCAUGUUAUCUCUAGUGAAGGGAUCAUGGUAGAUCCUCAAAUGGUUGGAAUGGUUUAGAAGUGGCGUAGAACCGCGACUCCAACCGAUAUUCAGAGCUUUUUGGAUUUAGCCGGUUACUAUAGAAGAUUCAUGGAGAGAUUUUUGACUAUAGCUACCCCAUUGACCUAUUUGACCCAAAAGAAGGUCAAGUUUUUGUGGUCGGAUACGUGUGAGGGUAGUUUUGAGAAGUUGAAAGAUAAAUUGACUUUGGCUCUAGUUUUGACCUUUCCUAAAGGUAAUGAUGGUUUUGUGAUAUAUUUUGAUGCUUCUCGCAUUGAGAUUAGUUGUGUAUUGAUGAAACAUGGUAGAGUGGUGGCCUAUGCUUCUAGGAAAUUGAAAUUUCAAGAGAAGAACAACCCUACUCAUGACUUGGAAUUGCUAGUAGUGGUUUUGCUUUAAAGAAUUGGCGACAUUAUCGAUACUACUAGCAUUUUUGGGAUAGACUUUAACCGCUAUUCCUACGUGUCCAAACUCUAAUCCAUGAUUUAUCUUUGAAUACAAGUGUCAUGAUCUUUAUCCUAGUGUGUAAAGUUCUUAUGAGGUAAAAAAUAUUCAUAGGAAUCACUUAGAACAAUGUUGUGCUUAGAGCCUUUGAUUCGUCCAAAGUUUGGUAUUCGAUUCUCAAGGGUCAAAUUUGAAUGUGUAUAAAUUUUUAUAUAUGUGGAAUUUUGCAGCUCAAAACCCACCAAAUGAUAGAUAAUUAAGCUAUCUUUCCAAUGAUAACAAUUUCUCUUUAAUUCGAUAGCCAAGAAAAAACUUAUGCCCCUUUUCGUGAGAGACAGUAAGGGGUUGAGAUAGCCCUGCAUCGUGAGGGCUAUUCCACUUAAUUAGGGGUCGCAUCGUAAGGGCAGUUUAACUAGACUAUGGGUCGCGCCGCGAGGGCUAUAUCCCCACUGUUUUAGCUUCUUAAGGGUCAAAGGGCACUUUGGUCCUUUCCCCUCAACCCCAAACAUCCAAGGCACGAAUUAAAACCCCCAAAAGGGCACUAGUUGCCUAUAUUCUUCAAAGAAACUCACAUAAAAACCCUCUCCUUUUACCCAUGAAUAAAUUUCAAGUUUCUCCUCUCAAGAACACAAGGUAUUCAAGCUUCAAUUUCAAGAUUUCUUCAAUAAUUUGUCAACUAAGGUAUGUGGAGUUUAUGAACAAGGAUCUUCUCUCAUCCUUGUUCCCAAAACUUUCUUUAACAAUUAAAGUUCAUGAUUUGCAGUUAGGGUUCAUACCCAAUUAGCCAUAUUCUUUAAUUUUGAUAUUUCCAUGAGAUUAAAGGCUUUAAGUGCAUCAAGAUUUACUUAUAUCCAUGUUUCCUCACGAAUUUUACAUUCAAGCCAUGUUAUUAGCUUAACAAUGUAAAAUAUGAUUCUAUGUGAUUCAAACCCCAAACUUACAUGUCAUGAUUUGUCAAUGCCAAGUUAAAUUGUUAAGCUCAUGUAUUUAUCCCUGUUAACAUGAUCCCAUUUUCAAGUUCACUUACUUCCAUAUUAUAAGUCAUGAGAUUAUCAGUUAUUUAAAUGCAUUAUGUUUUGGUGUCACCAAAUUAAGACUUCCUAUGAAUAUUUUAGAUGAUUUUUUCAUAUUUAAAGUGUCAUUCAGUACUGGCAGGUUACGAACACUUGAUACCUAUGUGUUUUUACAUGAUUUUAGAUUUUCGAGUAAUAACUCAGUUAAACCAUGUCUUAUUGUUAUACUCAGCUUUUCUGCUCAUGUCCAGCACUGUUAGUUUAUAGUUUUAUGAUUACUUCAGACUCUAUAUGCACUGAUGUUUUCAAAACACCAUGACCUAAGAUUAUUUUAUCAACUUUAGUGUAUGCACCCAUUUAUGAUUUUAGUGUCAGUUAAGUUGGGAGUAGGAUUUUACACCGAGAGAACCUAGGGAUGGGGGCUCACCCAUCAAUUAGGACUAGGUCCUUAGUAGCAGUCCCUAGGUUUCAAAACUAUGUAACCAGCAUAGGAUUUUAAAAUGUCACCUGCUAGUUUAAGAAUGACACUCUCUUAGGGGUCACCCACCAAUUUAAGACUGACUCUCUAAUCGUUUAGGCCACCAAAUUAAUCUAUCUAGACAACCAGUGUUAGUACCAGUGUCAUGGUACUAACACCCUUCCAACUGGGGUUACAGGUUGGACCCCGAUUAGCUUAGAUUGGAGCAUGUCAGUUAGAUGAUACCUCCCACAUUCUCAGUCAAUAUUUAGUGUAUCUCAAAUCAGGUUUGCUUGCCCAAGUCUUAGAUUUCUAGUUAUUCAGUUAUACAGAUUUCAGUCUUUCAAAUUAUAGAUUAUCUUGUAAAUAUGUUUAUGCUUGGUCUUGCAUUCUCAGUUUUACAUGUUCAUAUUUUUAUAUUUAGUAUCCAUAAAAGAUCCACAGUUCAGUUUUACAUGAUUAGUAUUCAGAUAUUAGUUAGCCAAUUUUAAUAUAUCAAGUACUUAGUAUAUGGACAUUAGUUGCCCAUUUACUUAGAUUCCAGUCAUUCAGUUAAUCAGGCAUCGACCAUUCAGUUAAUCAGAUCCUCUUAGUCUAUGUUAUGUUUGGUUUGCCAAUUUUAAUAUAUCAACUACUUAGUAUAUGGACAUUAGUUGUCCAUUUACUUAGAUUCUAGUCGUUCAAUCAAUCAGGCAUCAACCAUUCAGUUAAUCAGAUCCUCUUAGUCUAUGUUAUGUUUGGUUUGUAUGCUUAUUCAUUCAUGCUCAAUAUAUUUAUAUAUUUUGAUCUUUGAGUUAUGUUAGUUUCCAUCAUGUAGUUUUAGACCCAGUAUUCAUACAAUAUUCAUGUUUUUACCGCUUUCCAGCUUCAGUUCUACUUAUUCUACAAAAAUAAAUCUUUAAGAAACUAAGUGUAGUGAUUCACUAGCUUAUUAGAUUAUGUUUGUUACUUAUAUUUUAAGAUACUUCAGCUUUCAGUUUAGUUCAGUCUCUUGGUGAGUCUACUUGCACUUAGCAUAUAUGUUUUAAGAUUAUGUUCCUAAUCACUUUUACUUAUUGAAUUUACCCCCACUUACUGAGUACUUUCUAUAAGUACUGAUCCACAUAUAUGGCUAUGUCCUACAUUUUCUUAUAAUGUAGGUACCAGUGUAGACUACACAUCAUAAUCGUGCAGUUUACAGCUUCCAGUCAGCAGGUGAUCAGUUCUUCUAUUUUGGGGACUCCAGUUAGAUGUUGUUCAUAUACUUUAUUUUUAUUAUUCAUAUAUAUUGAGUAGUGGUAGUUUGAGGCAUGUCCCAGUUAUCUAUAGUCAGUAUAGUAGAGGCUUCAUAGUUCGUCCAUCGGAGUUAUUAAAUGUAAGUUCCAGUUCUCUAUUUAGUUUUAUUAGGUUGUAAACUUUAUCAAUAUUUUAGUUAUACAGAUUAUGUCAUGAUUAUGUUUCCUCGCAACAAAUUUAGCUAAUUUAUAUAUUCUAAAUCAGCUGUUCAAGUAUCAUUCCAGUUCAUGGGUUAGCUUUUCAUUAUUGUGGUUCUAAGCACCAUGUUAUGAGUAGAGGGUAGCCUCGGGUCAUGACAAAACUUGGUAUCAGAGCACAGAUUUCAAGUAUCUAGGGUUUCUAUGAAGUCAUGUCUAGUAGAGUCUUGCAGAAUGGUAUGAAGACGUCUGUAAUUUUCUUCAAAAGUUAAUAAGGCAUUUAAUAAAUAUUUCCCCUCUUUUAUGUCUCACAUCGUUCUGUAGAAAAGAUUCUCUAAGAAACUUAUACAGAUUUUCAUCAUGCGUAAUCCAUGUACACUCUACCUUAUUUUCAAAGUAAUAGAAAUAGUGAAGAUCAAAUUCCUACAGAUAGAGCUUUCUCAGACAGUCCCCACAGACAGUUAUUGGAGUGCACACAGGGUUAAAAGUAUCCCAUCAGUGCUUUUAAGUUUUGAAGUUUGAAGGACUUCAUUUAUGUUCAUGAAAAAUCGUGCACUAAGCCAGAGUUUGAUGUGCCCUCAAAUCCCUUCUCAGAGUCCUUUGACAUACUAUGGUUUAGAGGUAGAAGCAUGAACCUAAAAGUUUAGCAACAGUAAAGUGGGGAUAGUGUUAUCUGAAUUUAGUAGAUUAUGUAUCCAUGGAGCUAGUUUUAUGAAGGGUGAAUCAAUUGGCUUGAAAUAGUGCAUAUAAGAAUUUGAGUUUGUUGAUUCGAAAUAUAGUAUGAUAAUGUUAGGUAUAUUGGCAUAGUGGUAAUUCUCAUGGUCUAGGGAAAAAUAUAAGUUUAGAGGUGUGAUAUUAGUAGGCUAUGAAGGAAAAGAAGAAGAUUAUGUGUUUCGUGAGGCAAGUAUGUUGUUGAGAAGGGUGUAUGCAUGUGAUGAUGAUUUCCAAAGCUAAAGGUAGGAUAUAUUAAAGGAUUGUUCAAGAAUGAAGUUAGUAUAGUUCAUUAAAAGAUUGGGGAUAUCCAUGUUAAGUGUUAGAAUUUAAGUUUGAAUCUUGGUUAAAUGAACUAAUAAAAAAAAGAGAUGAAAUUCUAGAUGGUGUGAAUUCAGAAUAUGGUGAUGCUCUCGAAGAUUCUAUUCUAAGAUAGUAAGUGUUUAAGUUAUUAUUUGAUGACUAUUGGGCUAUAGAAAGUUGAGAUAUGUAUCUCAGAAUAAAGUACUAGUGGUGUGUUACACUUUCUGGUGCAGUCUUUAAAGGUGAGUUUAGUAUUCAUGUGUAUUAUUAUAUCUUUGACUCUAGUGUAGAGUGGUUGUAGUCUAUUUUAGAUUUUAUUAAAGAGUUCCACAGACUUAGAAUGAUAGCUUUAAGCUAAGGGGGAGAUGAUAGAACAAGAAACCAAGUUAGGCUUUUAGAGUCUAGUAGUGAUACUAGUAUGUUGUAAAACAACAGUAAACAACGAAGAUGCGCGACCCAUUCUUAUCUCAGUGCAAGGUUUUGUACUUUAGUCAUCACGAAAUCUACUCACGCCUUACAUGUUAGCUCUAUGAUCAUAGCUCAUAUUCAUGCACUUUCCAUAGAAUCAUGUAUGCUUCUAUAUCAUUGUAUGAGGAGUUCCAGUUCACUCAGCAGUGCGAAUUAUAUUCCCUAAAAUUAUGAACUCCAAACUCAGGUCAUGCAACUUAUGACUCAUGUACUCCUGCUUUACAAUAUACUCAAUUCCCAUAACUCACGGUGCACUCAUAAUGACCUGCAAAAUUCAGAUUAUGUCAUGUAUGUCCUUAGUUUUAAUCUCUUUAAUGAAUUCAUGCUUUUGAUAUUCUAUUCCUCUAGCUUUAAUUAAGUGUCGAAGUCAUGCAUAGUACUCUUUCAUGCUUCAGGAUCUCAUGUUGUAAUCUUUCAGUUACCUCUCCUUAUGUAAUGAUAGUGGUGAAGAGUAAUUAAUUAGAUAGGAGAGAGUAAAUGUUUCAUAUUGGGGAAAGAUUGUAACAUGCUUAUUGUAUCUUAGACUAUAAGUGUGAAGAAUGAUUGAGGUAGAACUUUCGAUAUGUGCCAUGGUUAGUUGAAAUUUUAUGUGUAUUUUCUUGGGGAUAGUGCAUGAAAGUUGUUAUUGAUAGAGGUUUAGACAAUAUGAGAAAGAUUCUUUUAUGGGUGUUUGCCUAGAAGUUCGUAUGUGGUUGUAAUGAUAGGCCUGAAUGCCAUGUUGGUAUAUAAGUGGAUUGAUGCAUUGUGUGCUAGCGACUUCCUAGUAAGAGGUUGAAUUAAGUUGUUGAAGUGGUAAGAAGAAUUAUUCUUGAGAUGAGAAUUUGUGAAACACGCAUGUGGUAUUGAAUUCAUGGUUCAGAUUAUUGUUAUGGUGUUAUGUGUAGUACUUUGAAAUUUCAAGUUAGGCUUGAACAUGGAGAGAGUAUGUAGUUCAACUUAGACUUUGGCGGGAAUGGUUAUAUGUAUCCAUGUUAGAGUUAUAUGUUGAAUCAAACAAGCCUAGUAUUUAAGAGAGAAAACAUAGUAGAGAGAUUAUUUGAGAAGUCUGGCUAAGCAUUAAAUUUAGAAGUUGCCUUUCCUAAGGCAUAGUAAUUGUAUCCUAGCCAUUGUUUUAUAGUCCUAUGUUCCAUGAUUAUAGAGUUAUAGCCGUGUUGCGAUUUUAUUGAUAUCAUGACAAGAACUCUUUGCUCCCUAAUGUUAUUAGAACUUCUUAGAAAAGUGCUAUAUAAAUACUCCAGUUGAGUAUAAGCUUUCAGUAUAAUUCAGCCCGUAUAGCUAGCAAUUCAGUUUAAAUCAGAUAAGAUAAGAUCACAUAGCUUCCCUUCUUUCUAUGUAGUCUUCCUAUCCAAAGUUUCAUAAAUAUGCCUAUUCCAUGAGGUAAUUGAUUCACAUCCAUGCAAGUUGUGAAUUUAAUUCAGUCCAUGCAUCACGUUUCAGAUUUAGAUAUGUAGUCAUGAUUCAAUUCUUAAGUGUUUAGUGAAUGACCUCAGUUUUCCAUGUAUUUCAGCGCAAACAGUGUAAUACCUCUUGCAUGAUCUUAGUCUCGUUAUCUCAUGAUUUGUGAUUACAUAAGUUAUCACCUCACUAUUCUAUGUGCAUGAUUGUAUCAUGAACCUUUCAAGUGAGUUCUAGACUCUCAGCACGAAUCAUCUUCUUAUAGUAAAUAUAGUCAAGUCAGCUCAGAAAUCAAUUUCAUGAUUAAAGUUCUAAUGUUUUAGAUCAUCUAUAUCCUUCAUAACCAGACAUGUCAUGUGUACAUCAUUCCACACUUAUAAAACUUCAACAAGUUCCUAUCCUUCAUUUGAGGAUGAAUGAUUCCAAGGGGGAGAUAAUGUAACACCCUAUAUUUUUGGGCUAGACUUUGAACCCUCGUUCCUACGUGUGUAAGCUCUAAUACCAUGAUUUAUAUUUGAAUACAUGUGUCAUGAUCUUUAUCCUAGUGUGUGAAGUGAUUAUGAGGGGAAAAAUGUUCUUAGUAAUCACUUAGAACAAAAUUGAGCUAAGAGCCUUUGAUUCGUCCAAAGUUUGGUAUUUGUUUCUACAAGGGUCAACUUUAAACAUAUAUAACUUUUUAAAUAUGUGGAAUUUUGCAGCUCACAACCCGCCAAAUGAUAUAUAAUUGAGUUGUCUUUCCAAUGAUACCAAUUUAUCCUUAAUACGAUACCCGAGAGAAAAGUUAUGCCCAUUUUCAUGAGAGACAGUAUGUGGUCGUGAUAGCCCCACAUUACGAGGGCUAUUCCACUUAAUUAGGGGUCACAUCAAGAGUGUUUAACUGGACUAGGGGUCACACCGCAGGGGCUAUUCCCCCAUUGUUUCAGCUUUUAAGGGUCAAGACGGUACUUUGGUCAUUUUCCCUAAACCCUAAAUGUCCCAAGCAUGAAUUAAAGCACCAAAAAGGGCAUUAUUUGCCCAUCUUAUUCGAAUCAACUCUUGUAAACACCAUCCUCUUUUCCCUAUGAACAAAGUUCAAGUUUCUCCUCUCAAGAACACAAUUAAUUCAAGGGUCAAUUUCAAUACUUCUUCAAGAAUUCAUCAACUAAGUUAUGUGGGGUUUAUGAACAAGGAUCCUGUCUCAUCCUUGUGACCAAAACUUACUUUAACGAUUAAAGUUAAUGCUUGGCAAUUAGGGUUCAUACCCAAUUAGCCAUAUUCUUCAAUUAUUAUAUUUCCAUGAGAUUAAAGACUUUAAGUUUAUCAAGAUUUACUCAUAUCCAUGUUUCCUCACUAAUUUUACAUUCAAGCCAUGUUAAUAGCUUUAUCAUGUAAAUUAUGGUUCUGUGUGAUUCAAACCCCAAACUUACAUGUCACGUUUGGUCAAUGCCAAGUCAAAUUGUUAAAAUCAUGUAUUUAGCCUUAUAAACAUGAUCCCUUUUUCAAGGUCACUUACUUCCAUAUUUAUAAGUCAUGAGAUUAUUAGUUAUUUAAAUACAUUAUAUUUUGGGUUCCCCAAAUUAGGACUUCCUACAAAUAUUUUAGAUGGUUUUAUCAUAUUUAAAGUGUUAUUUAGUGUUGGCAGGUUAUGAACAUCUGAACCUAUGUAUUUUUACAUGAUUUUAGAUUUUCAAGUAAUAAGUCAGUUAAACCAUGUCUUAUCAUUAUAGUCAGUUGUUAUGCUCAUGUCGAGCACUAUAAAUUUACAUGUUUAUGAUUACUUCAAACUCUGUAUGCACUGAUAUUUUCAAAACACCAUGACCCGAGCUUAUCUUAUCAGCUUUAGUGCAUGCACCAGUUCAUGAUUUAAGUGUCAAUUCAUUUGACAGUAGGAUUUAGCAUCGAGCAAACCUAGGUUUGGGGGCUCACCCGCCAGUUAGGAUUGAAUCCUUAGUAACAGUCCCUAAGUUCUAGAACUAUGUAGCUAGUGUAGGAUAAUGAUAUGCCAUCCACCAGUUUAGGACUGGCACUCUCUUAGGGGUCACCCUCUAGUUUAGGAAUAACUCCCUAGUACUUCAAGACAUUUGAUUAGUGGAUCCACACAGCCAGUGUUAGUGCUCGUGGAAUGGUAAUGACACCCUUCCAGUUGGUUAGACCCCGAUUAGCUUAGAUUGGGGUAUGUCAGUUAGAUGAUACCUCCUACAUUCUUAGUCAGCAUUCAGUGUAUCUCAGAUCAGGUUAGCUUGACCAAGUCUAUAGAUUUUUAGUUAUUUAGUAUAUAGAUUUUGAUCUUUCAAAUUAAAAAUUAUCUAAGAAAUAUGUUUAUGCUUGGUCUUGCAUUCUUAGUUUAACAUGUUCACAUUUCCAUGUUUAGUAUCCAUAAAAGAUCCACUGUUCAGCUUUACAUGAUUAGUAUUCAGAUAUCAGUUAGUUAAUUUUGAUAUAUCAAUUACUUAGUAUAUGGACAUUAGUUAUCCAUUUACUUAAAUUUUAGUAGUUUAGACAGUCAGGUAUCAGCCAUUCAGCUAAUCUGAUCCGCUUAUUCCAUGUUAUGUUUGGUUUGUAUUCUUAAUGAUUCAUGCUCAGUAUAUUUAUAUAUUCAAAUCCUCGAGUUAUGUCAGUUUCCAUCAUGUAGUUUCAGACCCAGUAUUCAUACAGUAUUUAUGUUUUUACCUCAUCCCAGCUUCAGUUAUAUGUAUUCUACAAAAGUAAAGUUUUAAGAAAUUAAGUGUAGUGAUUCAACAGCUUAUCAGAUUAUGUUUGUUACUUAUGUUUUAAGAUACUUCAGCUUUCAGUUUAUUUCAGCCUUUUGGUGAGUCUACUUGCACUUUGGAUGCAUGUUUUAAGAUUAUGUUCCUAAUCACUUUUACUUAUUGCAUUCACCCCCACUUAGUAUAUUCUUGAAGUACUGAUCCAAAUAUAUGUCUAUGUGCUACAUUAUCUCAUAAUGUAGGUACUAGUGUAGCCUACACAUCAUAAUUGGGUAGUUUGCAGCUUCCAGCCAGCAGGUGAUGAGUUCUACUAUUUUGGGGACUCCAGUCAGAUAUUGUUCAUGUACUUUAUUUUUAUUAUUCAUAUAUAUUUAGUAGUGGUAUUUUGAUGCAUGUCCCGAUUAUCUAUAGUUAGUAUAGUAAAGUUUUCAUAGAUAGUCAGUCGGAGUCAUGAAAUGCAAAUUCCAGUUCUCUCUUCAGUUUUAUCAGGUUGUAAACUUUAUCAAUAUUUUAUUUAUCCAGAUUAUGUCAUGAUUAUGUUUUCACAUAACAAAUUUAGCUAAUUUAUAUAUUUUAAAUUAAUUUCUCAAGUAUCAUGCAAGUUCAUGGGUUAGCUUGGGAUCACUUGUGGUUCUGAGAACCGUAUCACAAUAAUGGGAUAGCCUCGGGUCGUUACAUUAUCUCUAUAGGGUUCAUGUUGAUAUGUUUUCUGAUCAUAAGAGUCUUUAGUAUGUGUUUACUUAGGAGUUGAAUAUCAAGCAAAAAAGGUGGCUUGAGUUGUUGAAAGACUAUGAUAGAGUCUUCAUUACUAUCCAGGUAAGGCUAAUGUAGUUUCCAAUAUUCUUAGUAGAUAUUCUAUUGGAAGUUUAGCCCAUGUUCAUGAGGACAAGUGGGAAUUGGUGGAGGACAUUCACUAUUUGGAUAAUCUUGGAGUUCGUCUCACGGACUCAAAUGAUGUGGUGUAUUUGUGCAACAAGUAUCUCAGUCGUCUCUUGUUGUUGACAUAAAGGAAAAACAAAUGGUGGAUCCCGAUUUGAUGAAUAUCAAGUGUAAUGUGGGUCAACAAAAGAUAGUUGACUUUUUGAUUGGUGGUGAUGGUAUCGUGAGGUACCAAGGUAGACUAUGUGUUCCCGACAUUGAUAGAUUGAGAGAAAGGACUAUGGCCAAGGCUCAUGAAUCUCGGUAUGGUAUUCAUCCCGGUUCCAAAGAGAUGUAUUAUGAUCUUAGAAGGUGCUAUUGGUGGAAUAAUUUAAAAUGUGAGCUUGCUAGCUAUGCGGCUAAGUUUAUGGUGUGUCAACAAGUAAAAGUUGAGCACAUGAGGCCUGUUUUUUUGUACCAAACAAUUGUGUUACCAUAAUGGAAGUGGGGGCAAUUAAUAUGGAUUUCAUUUCCACUCUUCUUUGGUCUCGAAAUCAAUAUGUUUCUCUUUGGCUCAUUGUUGAUUGAAUGACCAAGUCUGCUCAUUUCUUGCCAGUAAGGACUACUUACUCGAUGAAGAAUUAUGCUAAAUUAUAUCUUGCAAAGAUCGUGAAAUUGCAUGACCCAAGAAAUUUUGGUUUCUAUCAUUUCUAUCACCUAAAAUGAUGGAAAUAAUGUAACGACCCAACAAAUUUCAGUUUCAAUCAUUUUGGGUCAUGGUCCUCCAUUCUCAUCUCACUUUUGGAAGUCUUUCAAAAAAGGUUUGGGAACUAAGGUGUGCCUUAGUACCACUUUUCACCCACAUUCGGAUGAAUAAAUAGAGAGGACCAUCUAAAUAUUAGAAGAUAUGUUGCGGGCUUGUGCUAUUGAUUAUGGUGGUAAUUGGUACGACUAUUUGCCUUUGAUUGGGUUUGCCUAUAAUAAUAGUUACCACUCUAGUAUUUGGCCCAUUUUAAGCAUUGUAUGGUAGGAGAUGUCGAUCUCCUAUUGGAUGGUAUGAAUUUGGUGAGGGUAAAUUACUUGGCCCCAAUUUAUUUCACCAAGCCUUAGAUAAGGUGAAGGUGAUUCGUGAUAGAUUGAAAACUGCUCAAAGUUGCCAAAAGUACUAUAUAGAUAUGAGGCGUAGGGACUUAGAGUUUAAUAUUGGUAAUUGUGUAUUUUUUAAGGUGUCUCGCAUGAAGGAAGUGAUGUGGUUUGGUUAAAAGAGGAAACUUAGUCCUUGAUAUGUUGGUCUCUGCUUGAUUGAGAAGAGGGUUGUCAAUGUUUCCUAUGAAUUGGAGUUUCCUUCUAGUAUGGACUCCAUUAACCCAGUUUUCCAUGUGUCCAUGUUGUGGAAAUGUGUGGUUCACCCUUCCUUGGUUAUUCCCAUGGAAGAUGUUGGUAUUUUGGACUCUUUGUCCUAUUAGGAUGUCCUAGUGAGGAUCUUGGAUCGACAAGUUCUCCGGUUGUGAAUGAAAGAGGUAGCUUUAGUGAAGGUUCUAUGGAGGAACCAAAAGACCGAGGAAGCUACUUGGGAAGCAAAGGAGAAUAUGAAGUCCAAGUAUCUACAUUUGUUUUUGACAUUUUGGAAACUUAUGAUUGAGGUAUGUAUUAAUCUUCUUACCUUGAGUUGUGUCUUGUUAGACCAUGGGUUCAAGUCCCUAAUGGUUUGAAAUUGUUUGUGUCCUUGUUGUGUAAUGGUUUAAGUCCCUAAUACUUUGAGUUGAUUCAUGUCUUAUGAUGGGUUAUAGUCCCUAGUCAUUAAAUUGAGCAAGUAUUCUUGAUAAGUCAAUGGGUUAAAGUCCCUAAGUUAUGAAAUGAGUAAGUGAUUUGAUAAGUAGUGGGUUUGAGUCCCAAGGUCAAUGAAAUAAAUGGUUGAUGGAUGAUGAUCAUGAUAUUUGUUGUAUCCAUAUUAUGUUCUUGCUUCGAACUUGUUAAAGGUUUGUUUUAUGUGUAAUAAUGUGCUAACGUGUUUUUACGGUUGUCUCACCCAUCAUUCGAGGACAAAUGAUUCCAGUGGGGCAGAAUUGAAACACCUAGGCUUUAAACCAUAAGAAAGUUUCUUCAUUUGAUGUCUCUAGCUAGGUAAGACUAAGGGUACCACUUGUACCCCUUGGAUACGAGUUGUAGACCCCCUCUCAUACCCUAGGAAGUAUGGUCAGGGUUACUCACUGUCCUAGGUACGAGUUAUCUCCCAAUCAUAACUAACGUACAAGUCAUACCUAACAUGGUCGUAUAGAGAGGUGUCUUAGACUUAAAGUGGACUGUUUUUGGUAUGAGUGGUGUGUAAGGUUUAGGGAAUGAGUCGUACCCCUUGGAUAUGACUCAAGGGUGUGUAGUCGUACCCUAACUAGUGUAGAUAACCUAGGAGAAGCCUAGUAAAGAGUUGGAGGCGUGGGGGGCCUCAAGGUGUUGUCUCCCCCCCCCCCCCGGAAAGCCACUAUUUAGUGCUUUAUGGUUAUUUCCCACCGCAAAACCCUUAAUUCCUUUCACUAUAUAAGACAUUGUAACCUCCUAAACCCUUAUUUACAAGACUUAAACAUUCCAAAACACUCUCAAAGCUUCUUGAAACAAGAUUGGAAGCUAGGGGUUGGAGGGUGUUCAUCUAGAAGCAACGAAGAGUUAAUAUCCCUUGGUGAAUCAAGUUAUCUAAGGCAUGUAACUAUUUCCCUUGUUUUAAACCAAGCACCAUGUGUUUUAGACAUAGAUUAAUACUUGUAAAUGAUUAUUUUGAAAUCAAAAUGUUAAGGGUUUGAUGCCUAGUGAUGAGUUAUGUGUGUUCUUGCUUAGACUUGUGUUUAUACAUGAUAUUGUUGAUAUUUUGUACAUAUGGGCAAUUUUUAUAUGUGGUUUAACAUGUAGGUCUUGAUUAACCCUAAUCUUGACUAUUUCUACCUUUAAAUUAGCCUUGGUAAGGGCAUGCACAAAAGGUGUUUGUGAAAAUGUCUUAGUGAAUUGUCUAGUCACAUGGUCGGGUUGUUUUGAACUAGGGAAAUGGCCCAAUAAGUAUGAUUGAUAAAUUAUAUUGUAAAGGUAUUAUGAGCCAUGUAUUGUGUAAUUGACGACCUUGUUGGUUUGACAGCUAAUAAGAGGUUAAAGUCCUUAGACAUGAAAUUGAAAUUGAAUUGGUCACAUUUUAUUCAUGAAAUGGCUUGGAUUGAUAUUAGUCUGGAUAUGGCAAAAUCAUUCUAUUAGAUUGAAUAAGUAAAUUCGAUCUAAUAAGUACCUUGUGUUAGAAUUGAGAAAUUUUAUGGCUUGGAUCUUUAGUAUUCUCUUAUUUAUUACCUGUGUCUACAAUUUAGGCAGAAUACCCUCACCCAUUCUUACUAAGAAACUGAAAGAAGCUAAGAAACUGAAAGAGGCCUCAAAAACAGAAGAAAGGGAGGAAAGUGAGGAAGAAAGAGAUGUAGAAACUGCUUCCGAAAUGAAGGGGACUAAACAGGAACAAGAGGGAUCCACUGAAGAAGAUCCUUAUCCUUCUCCUUCCCCUUUUUCGGAAGAAGGGUCGGAUCCGGACAAAAUCGAUGAAACGGAAGAAAUUCGAGUGAAUGGAAAGGACAAAAUAAAGGAUAAAUUCCACUCUUACCUUACAGAGAGAGGCUAUAAAAAUAUUAAUACUAGUAAUUGUGAAAUUUAUGAUAAAAAAGAUUCUUAUCUGAAUUUGAUUCAAAAAUCAAAAAGUCACGGGUAAUCCAAAAAAUUUUAAAUUGCAAUUUCUUGAUAACGAAAAUGAAAAUCAAGAACUCUUCGGGUUUCAAAAACCUCUUUUGAGUAUUCUUUUUGAUUAUAAUCGGUGGAAUCGACCAUUUCGCUACAUAAAGAAUAAUCGAUUUGACCAAGCCGUAAAAACUGAAAUGUCACAAUAUUUUUUUGACACAUGUAAAAGUGAUGGAAAACAAAGAAUAUCUUUUACAUACCCGCCAAGUUUAUCAACUUUUUUGAAAAUGAUAAAAAGAAAGAUACCCCUAUUGUCACUCCAAAAAACGCUCCCUCAUGAACUGGACAAUCAGUGGGUUUCUACCAACAAAGAAAAAAGUAAUAAUCUGAAUAAGGAAUUUUUAAAUCGACUUGAAGUUCUAGACAAGGAAUCUCUUUCUCUGGAUAUACUUGAAACAAGGACUAGAUUGUGUAAUGAUGAUACUAAAAAAGAAUACAUGCCUAAAAUGUACGAUCCUUUGUUAAAUGGACCAUAUCGAGGAACAAUCAAAAAAGGGGUUUCACCUUCAAUCAUAAACAAUAAUUCGCUAGAAAAUUUGAAAGAGAGAGUUAGACUAAAUAGGAUUCAUACUAUCUUUCUUCCGAAUACUGAUUACCAAGAAUUUGAACAAAAAGUGGAUACGAUUGAUAAAAAACCAUUAUCAACAGAAAUUGACGAGUUCUUAACUUUAAUCAAUGAAUUUGGUAAGGAACCAAAAUCGAGUUUAAAUUUGAAAGACCUUUCUUUAUUUUCAGACCAAGAACAGGUAAGAACGAAUUCAGAAAAAGGAACUAAAUUUUUAAAAUUUGUAUUCAACGCAAUUGAUCCUAAUGAGACAAAAUCUGGAAACAAAUCGAUUGGAAUAAACGAAAUCAGUAAAAAAAAACCUCGCUGGUCAUGUAAAUUAAUCACCGAAUUGGACCAACAAUUGGGUAAAUUUGAAGAUGGCCUAUCAGUAGAUUAUCAAAUUCGUUUAAGAAAAUUCAAACGUGUAGUUAUUUUUACUGCCAACAACGAGAAGAAGGAUCCUGAUGAGACCAACGAGGAAGUGCCUUUAAUAAUCUAUUCGCAACAAUCCGAUUUUCGGCGAGGUAUAAUUACAGGCUCUAUGCGGGCUCAAAGGCGAAAAACAGUUAUUUGGAAACUAUUUCAAGCAAAUGCGCAUUCCCCCCUUUUUAUCGACAGAAUAACCCCCCCCCGUCUUUUUUCUUUUGAUAUCUCUGGACUGAUUAAACCAAUUUUUCGAAAUUGGACAGGUAAAGAGGGAGAAUUCAAGAUUCUAGAGUCUAAAGAAGAACAAACAAAAAGAGAAGAGAAAAAAGAAAAGGACAAAAAAAAGGAGAACACCAGAAAGGAAAAAGCACGGCUAGCGGUAGCAGAAGCCUGGGAUAACAUUCUUUGUGCGCAAAUAAUAAGAGGUUACAUGUUAAUAACUCAAUCAAUUCUUCGAAAAUAUGUUGUAUUACCUUCAUUGAUAAUAGCCAAAAAUCUCGGGCGUAUGUUAUUCUUGCAACUUCCUGAAUGGUCUGAGGAUUUGCAGGAAUGGAAUAGAGAAAUGCAUAUUAAAUGUACUUAUAAUGGUGUUCAAUUAUCAGAAACAGAAUUUCCACAAAAUUGGUUGAGCGAUGGGAUUCAGAUCAAAAUUUUAUUUCCUUUUUGUCUGAAACCUUGGCAUAUAUCUAAACUGCACCCCUCCCGCGUAGAGCUGAUGAAAAAGAAAAAACAAAAAGAUGAUUUUUGUUUUUUAACAGUUUUGGGAAUGGAAGCUGAACUUCCCUUUGGUUCUCCCCGAAAGCGCCCUUCCUUUUUUGAGCCCAUUUUUAAGGAACUCGAAAAAAAAAUUGGAAAAUUUAAAAAGAAAUAUUUUAUAACUUUUAUAACUAUAACUCGAAAAGUUUUAAAAGGAAAAACAAAAUUAUUUCGAAGAGUUUCAAAAGAAACCAAAAAAUGGCUUAUAAAAAAUAUUCUAUUUCUAAAAAAAAUAAAAAAAGAACUUUCAAACAUAAAUCCAAUUGUAUUAUUUAGAUUCAAAGAAAUAUCUGAAUCGAAUGAAACGAAAAAAGAAAAAGAUUAUCUAAUUAGUAAUCAAAUAAUUAACGAAUCAUUUAGUCAAAUUGAAUCUGGAAAUUGGCCAAAUUCUUCACUGAUAGAAACCAAAAUGAAGGAUUUGACUGAUAGAACAAGUACAAUAAAAAAUCAAAUAGAAAGAAUUACAAAAGAGAAAAAGAAAGUAACUCCAGAAAUAGACAUUAGUCCUAAAUCGCCAAAAAAUAUUUUCCAAAUAUUAAAAAAAAGAAAUACUCGAUUAAUAUGUCAAUUCCAUUAUUUUAGAAAAUUAUUCAUUCAAAGAUUAUACAUCGAUCUAUUUUUAUCUAUCAUUAAUAUUACAAGAAUUAAUACACAACUCCGUCUUAAAUCAACAAAGAAAUUGAUUGAGAAAUACAUUUCCAAUAAUGAAAUAAAUCAAGAAAAAAUUAAUAAUAAAAACAAAAUUAACUUUAUCUUUAUUUCGACUAUAAAAAAGUCACUUUAUAAUAUUUAUAAUAUUAGUAAGAAAAAUUCACAUAGUUUUUUUGAUUUAUCCUACUUGUCACAAGCAUAUGUAUUUUACAAAUUAUCACAAACCCAAGUUAUUAAUUUGUCUAAAUUUAAAUCUGUUCUUCAAUAUAACAGAACGUCUUUUUUCCUUAAGACUAAAAUAAAGGACUAUUUUAGAACACUAGGAAUAUUUCAUUCUGAAUUAAAACAUAAAAAACCUCAGAGUUAUAGAAUCAAUCAAUGGAAAAACUGGUUAAGACGGCAUUAUCAAUACGAUUUAUCUAAGAUUAGAUGGUCUAGAUUAAUGCCAAAAAAAUGGAGAACUGGGGUUAAUCAAAGUUGUAUGGCUCAAAAUAAAAAUAGAAACUUAAACAAAUGGAAUUCAUAUGAAAAAGACCAAUUAAUUCAUUACAAAAAAGAAAAUGAUUCUGAACUCUAUUCAUUAUCAAACCAAAAAGAUAAUUUUAAAAAAUGUUAUAGAUAUGAUCUUUUAUCAUAUAAAUCGAUUAAUUAUGAAAAUAAAAGUUACUCAUUUAUUUCUAGAUUACCCUUUCAAGUAAAUAAGAACUUCGAAAUUUCUUAUAAUUCCAACACGCCCAAACACAACCCUUUUGAUAUGCCCGACAAUCUUCAUAUCAAUAAUUAUCUAAUAAAAGGCAAUCUUCUACAUCUACAUAUAGAAAGAAAUCUCGAUAGAAAAUAUAGAAAAUAUUUUGAUUGGAAAAUUCUCCAUUUUUCUGUUAGACAAAAAGGAGAUAUUGAGGCCUGGGUUAAGAUCGAUACCAACAGUAAUCGAAAUACUAAAAUUGGUAUUAAUAAUUAUGAAAUAAUUAAUAAAAAAGGACUUUUUUAUCUUACAACUCAUCAAAAUCCAGAAAAAACUAAAAAAAAUUCGAAAAAAGACUUUUUUGAUUGGAUGGGAAUGAAUGAAAAAAUAUUUAAUCGUCCCAUAUUGGAUAUGGAAUUUUGGUUCUUCCCAGAAUUUGUACUACUUUAUAAUGUAUAUAAAAUAAAACCGUGGAUUAUACCAAGCAAAUUACUUCUUUUAAAUUUGAAUACAAAUGAAAAUGUUAGUAAAAAUCAAAAUAUCAAUAAAAACAACAAAAAAAACUUUUUUCUACCAUCAAAUAAAAAAAUAAAGAAUCGAAUUCAAGAAGCAAAAGAACCCGCAAGUCAAGGAAAAAGAGAGCGUGGAUCAGAUAUAGAAAACAAAGGAAAUCUGGGCCCUGUUUUCUCAAAACAUCAAAACGAUCUUGAAAAAGAUUACGCGGAAUCAAACACAAAGAAGGGUAAAAAUAAAAAACAAUACAAAAGCAACACGGAAGCAGAACUAGAUUUGUUCUUGAAACGUUAUUUGCUUUUUCAAUUGAGAUGGAACGAUACUUUGAAUCAAAGAAUAAUCGAAAAUGUAAAGGUAUAUUGUCUCCUGCUUCGACUGAUAAACCCAAACAAAAUUGCUAUAUCGUCAAUUCAAAGGAGAGAAAUGAGUUUGGAUAUAAUGCUGAUUCAGGCGAAUUUACCUCUUACAGAAUUGAUGAAGAAGGGGUUAUUGAUUAUCGAACCUAUUCGAUUGUCUGUAAAAAAUAAUGGACAAUUUAUUAUGUAUCAAACCGUAGGUAUUUCAUUGGUUCAUAAAAGUAAACACCAAACUAAUCAAAGAUACCGAGACCAAAGAUAUGUUGAUAAAAAUCAUUUUGAUUUGCUUGUUCCUGAAAAUAUUUUAUGGUCUAGACGUCGUAGAGAAUUGAGAAUUCGAAGUUUUUUUAAUUCUUUGAAUUGGAAUGGCGUCGAUAGAAAUUCAGUAUUUUCCAAUGAAACUAAUGUAAAAAACUGGAGUAAAUUUUUGGAUGAAAGGAAACCUCUUUAUAAAGAUAAAAAUGAAUUAAUUAAAUUAAAGUUCUUUCUUUGGCCUAAUUAUCGAUUAGAAGAUUUAGCUUGUAUGAAUCGUUAUUGGUUUGAUACCAACAAUGGUAGCCGUUUCAGUAUCUUAAGGAUACAUAUGUAUCCACGAUUGAAAAUUAAUUGAUAUUACUAUAUACCCUGUCUCGUAUAGAGUAUCUGAAAGAAAACAAAUGCACACAUGCCUUGUCUUACAUCUCAUUCGAAUCUAAUUCGAGUAGACGAUACUAAAUCAAUAAGGUAUCGAUUAGAUCUAGAAAU